GGGGAUGUGGCAGUGUUACCGAGGAGUGGGACAGCUUGUAUGCUCAGAAGGUCCAAUUGUUAACUUUCCUUUCUACUCUGCCCGAGCCCGCUCUGAGUUAUGGGCCGAGUGUUGAAACUAAUAUGGCCAAUUCUAUCGAGCAAAGAGAACAGAAAAAGAGUGACAUAAUAGUUCUUGAUUCGGAUGAUGAUGAUGAAAGCACAGGAGCACACAAACAACUGACGCCUGAGAAAAAUAAACAGCUGAUACCAUCAGAACAGGCUGGUGCUCUCAUGAGAGUGGUAGUCAAAGGAAUUGAUGAAUUAAAUGAGACAAUGCAUGAUAGAGACCAAAACAGUCAAAUUGUUCCAUAUAGUCCAAGUGCAACUUUAAUGAAUCAGUAUCCUUCGGCCAGCUAUCAACCAUGGCAGUUAUGUUUGAGAGAGCUAUAUUGUAGAAAAGACCCGAGGAACGUAUCCAUGAUCUGGCUGUAUGUACUUUUCACUUGCAAUUUUUUACUGAGAGUUAUAUUGUCAAUUUUGUUCUACAUGUGUGUAAUGACAAACUAGUAGCAUCAACUUUGCACUGCCUCAUCAGUAUCUCUGAAGGGCACUGCGAAACUGUUAUCUUUGUUUUCAAUUUUUUUUAAUGUUCAUCCAUAAUUAUUUGACGCAUCUUAGUUCACAAGUACCCCUUUCUCUUGUACUGAAAAGAAUGGAGUAUAAUUGUUUGAUAUUUGCUGAAUCUAUUCCAAUUCAAAGCUGAAAAUUUUCAUCUUCCAGCCAUAACUCUUCCUGCUCAAUGUAGGUUGCUACCCAUAAUGAGAAAAUAGCAGAAACACAAGUUUCCCCUCCACUUCCGAAGGAGAGAAAAAAACGAAAAGUUGAUCCAAGCUCCCAAGUAGAUGGGGAUGUUGAAAUUGUGCCAAGAAAAUAAAAAUAAAAAAAGAGAAGCAAAUCCAGCAGUAUUUGAUUUGCCCUCAGAACCUUACAAUCCUCUGGGGUAAGAUGAUCCUAUGGAGGAAGAUGAGCCUAUGGGGGAAGAUGAGCCUAUGGAGGAAGAACAUAUAAAAUAAAAGGAAAGUGAUGGUCUUGAAGAUUUUUGGAAUAAGUACUCAGUGCCACUUGAAAGCUCUAAGGUACAAAUUAUAAUCAGACUUAUGACUUUUGUUGCUGCAGCAUUUUGAAACAUAUCAUUUUGUAAUUUUAUAGUUGUGCUUAUAAUUUCGUGCUCUGUCUGCAAAUUAAUUCAACUUGUAAAGUUUGAGAAUAGAUGAGCUCAGCUCAAUAAGAGAAAUCUGUAAACUUUAUCUUUAUUAAAUUGUUUAUUUGGAUUUAUGUUGCUUGCCAUAAUGAUUUAGUUAUAUUUAUUGGCCAGCUUGACACACUUGAAGAGGCAGCCAAUGAGAAAGAGGUGAACAAUGUCUGCAAUCAUGAAAUACAGAUUCAUGAAGAUCUGGGCCAUGUAUGCCGUGUCUGCGGUAUGAUUGUGAGAGAAGGGCUGACACAAUCAUUGAUUAUCAGUGGAGAAAGGUAUGUUAUUUGUUUAAGAUGUGUGAUGAUGCUUCUGUAUCUCUGAGGCCGUUUAGCAAGAUAUCUAGUUUUAAUUUUCCGGAAGUUCUUACCAAAUAUACUUUUUAGCAACAGCAAAGCGGCCCACAGGCACGUGUGGGAUUCCCAUUUGGUGUGCUGAAACUGCUUUGAAAUACAUUUUUUAUUUUGUACUAUUACGUUGUUUGAACAAAAUCUGUUUUUAUAAGAGCCAAGUGCCUAAAGGGGCACAAUAUGCCAAUCAUACCUGAGAAUUAGUUCAUGCAAUCUUAUCCAACAAAAUUGACACAUUUGCUCAUGCUGCAGAGCCUGACGGACCUCGUGGGUUGUUAUUUUGGUUAUUCCUGUAUUUCCAGCAUGAAUAAUCUUUUCUAGUAUAGCACAUGUAGUUAUUUUCUGAUAUUUGGUAUCUUCUGUUAUGCAGUAUAAUUUUUCAGAAAUGUAAUGAUGGCAUAAUAUAAACUUUGGAAUGAACUGAAGUUUAAAUGUAUGAUUGGAACAAUCAAUUGACAUUACGUUUACCUCAUGUCAGGCAUCAAGGUCAAGAUCAUAUUUCUCUGAAAAGCGUUCAAAGGAUUCUGACGAGAUUGUCACUGUAUGAUUUGUGCUCUGUCAAGGGUGACAGAGAGAUCAGUUGGAAAUCCUUAACGCUUGGCAAGCCAAUAGGAGUAUCCUCUUUGGUUGGAUACACCCAGUUCUCUUGGAUCAUUAACAGUGAUGGGGUUGUCACCGUCGCAGCUGUAUGCUGGGACAUGUUGCUUAUGGUCUCUAACCUACUUAUAAUGGAUGAAGGCCAUAGACCUAGGAAUGAGUUGACUAUGUGCUAGAAUCACUGUGCAGAGUACAUACUCCACGUAAUGUGGUCCUUACACUUUCCCAGAAUCACGUCGCAGAAGUGUUCAACAUCUUGAACCUUGUACGCCCAAAGUUUCUCAAGAUAGUAGCAUCUCAUCCUAUACUUUCCUAGAAUCACGUCGCAGAAGUGUUCAACACCUUGAAUCUUGUACGCCCAAAGUUUCUCAAGAUAGUAGCAUCUCAUCCUAUCGUUGAUAAGUAUCAAUAUCAGGUCGCGGGAUUUCAAAAGGGGUCUCUGAUAAAUUCACCGAGUCAGUAGAAGAGACCCUACUGCAUGAUGAUAACUUCACGAGAAAAGCACAUAUCAUUAGAAGUCUCAGAGAACUAACAAAAGAUUUGCUUCACUACUAUAAGGGUGAUAUCUUGGAUGAACUACCUGGCCUAGUAGACUUCAGUGUCUUCUUGAAACUCAGUCCCAAGCAGAAAGAAAUCUUUCAUAAGUUGGAAGCCUAUGAGAAUUGAGAAGUAAAAAACACGCAAUAGGAACUGCCCUGUACAUGCAUCCAUGCCUGUAAGAAAUAUUAGAAGUUGAUGUUGCAGAUAGAGCUUCCAGCUUUACAGAUGUAACUGUUGAUAAUCUGGUCCGGUCUAUCAACGUGGCCGACGGUGCGAAGGCCAGAUUUUUCACCAAUAUCCUGGCACUUGCGGAAUCUGUGGGAGAGGUCAUUGCAUUUAGUCAGUACAUUACUUCCCAUGAUUUUUUUUGGAAAGGCUAUUGGCUAAGACAAGGGGCUGGCAAGUAGGAAAGGAGUUCUUUGUGAUCCGUGGUGAUAAUAAAUCUACUUCAGAAGAUAGAAGUCUGACAAUGGAUCAGUUUAACAACUCUAUUGAUGCAAAAGACCUCUUUGGCUCUACCAAGGCAUGUGGGGAGGGCAUCUCCCUGGUGGGCGCAUCAAGAGUCGUCAUUCUAGAUGUUUUGAACCCCUCUGCUACCUGUCAGGCAGCAGAAGAAAGUGUUGGCUCGUAGCAGCUAAUUCUCUGGAGGAGAACACCUAUGAAACUGCAUUCAAGGAGGUGAUACCAAAGCUGUGGUUUGAAUGGAGCGAGCAGCGCUGCAAGUCGGAGGACUUCCAGUUGAAUGAAGUCGAUAUCGACGGCUAUGGGGAUGAGCUUCUGGACAACAGGACAAUGUGCCCAGACAUCAAGGCUUUGUAUGCAAGGUGAAGGCAGGCUGGCUGUUGUACAUACACCAUGUAUAUAUGGCUUUCCGAUCGUUUGAGAUUGUCAUUGUUGUCAAGUAAGGCUCCUCUAGAACCGAAAGAAAGACUUGGCUUGGUACAUCUUUGCAGAUACCUUUUAUUGGUUAUUAUGGGCCUUCUCUUCCUUCAGAUGCAUCAAACACUCUACAUGUUGAAAGUCUACCAUCCAACUGUACUAGAUAGGAGCUUGCACGUAUCCUUUUAUGCAUAUGAUUCUCUUGCUAUUAUUGUUUUGAGUUUAUUUGUCAUUUUGUUCAUAACUGAACUAUAUUUUAUGUUUAUGUUCUUACCAAUCUAUGUCUCAGUCUUCAGCUUCUUGACUCUUGCUUCUCUACAUAUAUUUUGCCCUUUUAAUUUAUCGGGUUCUGUGAAGUAAGGCUGGUCAAAGAGGAUAUAAUAGUAGACACGUAAUAGCUUAUGUUGUCUUAGAAACUCCUGCCCCGGCAUUUUUCUGCCAUGAAGUCUCUGCAAGGUGAAUAUAACAUUUUUGUCAGCCUAAGUUGUGUCUCUUACAUUGUACUCCCUCCGUUCCAAAUUACUCGUUGUGGUUUUAGUUCAAAUUUGAACUAAAACCACGACGAGUAAUUUGGAACGGAGGGAGUAGUAUCCUACUUGAUACUUAUGUCGCUAAUUCUUUUGAAGUGUCGUUUGCACAUCCUUUGCAUCAAUAUCAUUGUGUGCCUAAGUUGUGACUCUUAUGUAAAGUACUUAUGGUGGUUGUCAAUCCUUGUUGAUUGUUUAAAUAUUUGGUUGCACAACUUUCAUGUUCUUACCGAGCUAGAAUUAACAUUCUAGAAUCUGCAUGCGCAAUACAUCCAUUUGCCAUGUUCUUUUCUGCUAUGUUUCACUUCGUAUAGGUUAUGUGUUUACUUCUUUUUAUGUAUCAUACAUCUUUCCUUGUAUGAAUUUAUUCAUUUGACCUAAAUGUUGUGACAAGUGCCUUGUAUUGCUACCACUAUUUUUCCUUUCUUUAGUAUUUUAGCACAUCAAAUUUUGUUCCCUAGAUGAUUAAUUUGUUUCUACUGUUAGUGUAAUCCCUUAUUUUGUACUAUAUGUGACUCACUAUCGUACUAUAGUACAUAUUUUCAAAUAUGUCAGUGUAUAGCAUGAAGUUGAUACUUGUUCGGUUGUAGGCUUCAAACAAAAUAUGAUGCUUCUUUUUGCAGGUUAUUUGUUUGACAUACAUGACAAAUACUCGCUUCAAACAAAAUAUGAUGCUUCUUCUUGAUUGGCUGUUUACGUGGUCUAACCAACAGGUCGUGCCCACUUUAGUGGGACUUGAUCGUGCGUUGGUUAACGUUGCUUGGGUUCAAAAAUUCCCGGAUAGCUCUCUGACCUCCUCUACCGAUCCACGUCUGACCAUGUUCCCAUUCAACUUGCUGCUGCUAUUCAAAUCCCGAAACCUGUGAUUUUUCGUCUUAACAACGCUCUUCCUGCAAACUCAAGUUUCCGGAAUCAGGUUGCUACAAAUUGGGCUAGCGUCGGUUUGCGGCACUGCUUGAGGGGUUCGGUAGAUAUGCUUGCCUUUCGCCUCAAGCGCACUCGUGAUAUGGCUAAAAAAUGGUCGGCCAACUAUUGUCUCCCUUCCAUCCUGGCCAAGAAUUGCCAUACGACCAUCAAUCUCCUAUCAAUCUCCUGGACAAGCUCGAGGAAGCUUGAGGAAUCUCGUUUGGCUAGCACAUAAAUAUCAUGUUUAAACCAACGAGAGGAGACUUUGUAGAUCAAUCGCUACCUCUGAUGCUUGCCUAUUGUGCGGCGCCUGCGAUAGCAUCACACACCUUCUCCUCAGCCGUGCUUCCGAUCUCUCCGGGACGAGCUUUACAGCCUAUAUGGUGGCACGCCUGGCAGCCUCGGUGACGUCUGGCUGCGGGCUCUGAUGGACAAAGUUCGCUCUAUCGUUCUCAUUACAAUUCUCUGGAACACCGGGAAGCGUUGUAAUGCUAAGAUUUUUUGAAAUGAGACUGUUCACCCACCACAUUGCUAGGACUGUGGCUGAUGACUUGGCGCUAUUGUGACACAGAUGCAAGAAUAUCCAACGACAAGCUCUACUCCGGAACUGCCUGGGAUUUUGGAUCAGCCCAUACUACAGGAGGUAAAACUGUGAAUAAAAUAAAAGCCCAAUACUGUCUAUUAACCAGGACAUUCAACACAGCUUACCAAAGGGGCGACUACGGCUUUUGCUAGAGUGAGUACCUACAUUUUUUGGUACCCUCUCCUGGACUCCCAAGCCCAAUUAGAACCGCUGAUUUUGCAAAAUCUUUUUGUCACAUUGAUGCCAUGUUACCCUUGUUAUUUGAAAGCAGUUUUCUUUUCAUUGUUCGCACAAGAAUAUUUCUACAAGGAAAGGAUAACAGUGCCAUGCCUCCUUUUGAAAAAAAUUGUUCUUGUUACAUAAUACUGUUAGAUGUUACAUUGGAUGAUUUUUUUUGUCUUUAUUUUAAACACCCAAGUUUGGAUCAUGGAUCCUCGCUGGCAUGUCAAAUUAGUGGUCAAUUUUCUUUUAUGAUGGACCACCCUGCUUCAAAAUCCUAGAUCCGCCACUAGCCCUAGCCCUAGCAAUUCUCAGGAAGGCGAGACGUCGGCAGCUCCCUGAAGAUGGAAUAAAUUUCUCCCCGCCUAGUCCCCGUUCCGGCGGUGCGUCUAGCAUCGUUGGUGGGCGUGUGGAGGUGUGUCUUCGGUAGAUCUAUCUUUGGUGGAUUUGCUCGGAUCUCGUCGUUGUUCGUCUACGUUCGUGUGUCUUCGGUUUGGAUCCUUUCGAUCUACGUUAUAUUUUAUCGGCAGCGGUUGCUAUUCUGGGGUGUUGGUCCUAUGAGGCCUUAGCACGACGACUUCCCGACUGUCUACUACAACAAAUUGUGACCGGCUCCGGCGAUGGAGGGGUGAUGAUGGCGGCGCGUCUUCGGCUUGCUUCGGUGCUUGUAGUCGUCGCUAGGUGGUCUAUGCAUCUGGAUGUAAUUUUUAUUUCUGGUAUUCGUUGUACUGCCAUGAUUGAAGAUGAAUAGAUUGGAAGUUUUUUCGCAAAAAAGAAAGCUAAGAUUUUUUGAAAUGACACUCUUCACCCACCACAUUGCUAGGGCUGUGGCUGAUGAUCUGGCGCAAUGGUCACACAAAUGCAAGAAUAUCCAACGACAAGCUCUACUCUGGGACUGGGGCUCUAUGUUGUCACACCUUGCUGUGAGAUUGUAACCUUCAUGUAAUCUUCCUUUCUUUCUUUCCCCCCCCCCCAAAGGUAAAACUGUGAAUAAAAUAAAAGCCCAAUACUGUCUAUUAACCAGGACGUUCAACACCGCACUGUGUCCUUCGAUUUUCUGACUAGAAAGGCACUCUACUCGUCCGCUGAUUCCUCGUGAUUUUUUGCUUACCAAAGGGGUGACUACAACUUUUGCUCGAGUGAGUACCUACAUUUUUUGGUACCCUCUCACGGACUCUCAAGCCCAAUUACGACCGCUGAUUUUGCAAAAUCUCUUUGUCACAUUGAUGCCCUGUUACCUUUGUUAUUUGAAAGCAGUUUUCUUUUCAUUCUUCGCGCAAGAAUAUUUCUACAGGGAAAGGAUAACAGUGCCAUGCCUUCUUUUGAAAAAAAAAUGUUCUUGUUACAUAAUAUUGUUAGAUAUUAUAUUGGACAAUAUUUUUGCCUUUAUUCUAAACACCCAAAGAUCAUGGAUCCUCGCUGGCGUGUCAAAUUGGUGGUCAAUUUUUUUAUGAUGGACCACCCUGCUUCAAAAUCCUAGAUCCGCCNNNNNNNNNNNNNNNNNNNNNNNNNNNNNNNNNNNNNNNNNNNNNNNNNNNNNNNNNNNNNNNNNNNNNNNNNNNNNNNNNNNNNNNNNNNNNNNNNNNNNNNNNNNNNNNNNNNNNNNNNNNNNNNNNNNNNNNNNNNNNNNNNNNNNNNNNNNNNNNNNNNNNNNNNNNNNNNNNNNNNNNNNNNNNNNNNNNNNNNNNNNNNNNNNNNNNNNNNNNNNNNNNNNNNNNNNNNNNNNNNNNNNAGACGAGUCAAAAAAAAAAAUUACUCGCUCAAAUUGGACCCUCAAUUCUUUCCUGGUCCGAGGUCAACUGAUGCAUCUUUGUGGGUUUCGGUUUCUUCAAUAUCAAUCUGAAACCUUCAAUUUGCAACUUCUUCCUUUGCUUUUGUUUCCUCAUGAACGAGGGACAAUUUGAUUGUUUCUUGGGCCUUAACUGAUAUGCUAUGAUGAGCGUAUAUUAGAAUUGGAAUUGCUAUUAUAAGUUACAUGUUGAGAUGCUCUAGCUUGUUAUUUUGUAUUGUAACUUAUCAUGUAUCUGCGUGACCCAUACAAAACACUAUGCAACAGUGGAUCAAAUGUUCAAACUUCUUUGAGCAUCUAAAGGUUUUCAUUACAAAUGUUUAAUAAAAGUAAAAGGUUUAUGUCUGGUGGGUGUAUUAUGUCCAUCUCCAAUCUCAUGGAUUGACAUCAAUAUUUAGAAAAUUGAUACCUUUUGUAAUCACUUGAGAUGGAAUUCGCCAUGGAUCACAUAGCUUUUGUAUGUUAUAUCUUGCUUUAGUGAUAUUAUAUGGAGUUAAAUACUUUUUGUAUCAAAAUAGUUGGAAUAGCUUAGUUGGCUAGAGUGUGUGGCUGUUAACCACAAGGUCGGAGGUUCAAGCCCUCCUUCUAGCGAGUUUUUUUUCACUCUAAUUAUAACUGUUGGUACAACCACUGAAGUGUUGUUGCUUUUGCCAUUCAAAUUUGACUACAUUAUGUUAGUCCAAUGCUUACCAUGUUUCGCCUGUGUAUAUGCAAAAUACAUUUUGUUAUAUUUAUGGUUGAAGAGAAGGGUUGGGCGACGCUAACUACAAUGUCAAGAUGCUUGCAUUGUCUUUAACUUACUUUACAUGUUGCAAUACUGUUACUGGAUUCCAUCACUCAUGUUUUUAGACAUUAUGGAGUAAUGGUUAUAACGGAUCGUGAUUCCUCUACAGUCCUAUUUGUCCAAAAGAAUUCUUGAUUUGGCUGUCGCUGCCUGCGGCCCAUGUCAUCUAGUGUUGUCGAAGAAAUGUCAAGAAUAAAUGACCCUGUAUGUUGUUUCUCCCAAAAGUGGAAGAACCACUUUUUUAGGUGCGUUGUUGCCAUCCAUUAUAAAAAUGACAGGUAUGUGAGGAUAAACAUUUGUAGGAUGUGGGCCUUUACAGAUACCUUUUAGAGCAACUCCAAUGAGGCGACCCAUUUUGUCUGCCUGCGUUCGUUUGGGUCGGCACGGACAAAAGUGGAGACCGAACGCGCCGACCCAAACCCAAAUUGCGUCCGCGCUGACGCAUUUGUGGCUCAAAUGCAUCGACGUGGACGCGCCUUCUUGGUGUCCGCCACGUCCCCACCUGGUGGUCGUCCAACCACCCAGCAGCUAGUUUGGUCAGUUUAAGUUAUGACGACCGCCCAUCUCGGGCCCACGCAUUAGUGACGACGGNNNNNNNNNNNNNNNNNNNNNNNNNNNNNNNNNNNNNNNNNNNNNNNNNNNNNNNNNNNNNNNNNNNNNNNNNNNNNNNNNNNNNNNNNNNNNNNNNNNNNNNNNNNNNNNNNNNNNNNNNNNNNNNNNNNNNNNNNNNNNNNNNNNNNNNNNNNNNNNNNNNNNNNNNNNNNNNNNNNNNNNNNNNNNNNNNNNNNNNNNNNNNNNNNNNNNNNNNNNNNNNNNNNNNNNNNNNNNNNNNNNNNNNNNNNNNNNNNNNNNNNNNNNNNNNNNNNNNNNNNNNNNNNNNNNNNNNNNNNNNNNNNNNNNNNNNNNNNNNNNNNNNNNNNNNNNNNNNNNNNNNNNNNNNNNNNNNNNNNNNNNNNNNNNNNNNNNNNNNNNNNNNNNNNNNNNNNNNNNNNNNNNCAAGGCCCCCGCCAUUCCUUUUCCCCUGAGCUCCCCCUGCCUCUGUUGGCGCUAGCUCGCCGGCCGCGGCAGCGCGUUAACGUGCCAGCCGGAGUGGCACUGGCAGAACCGCGUGCCUCUUUCGUACCCCGACGUCACCCUGUCGCGCGACUGCAUCUGGAUCCAGUAAGGAUCCCAGUGCCGGCGGCGCAGCGGUCGGCUAGGGCGCACGCGGAGGAGGUGCAACGCCGGCGGGCGCAGCUGAUGCCGGAGCAGCGCAGCGAGCCGCGUAUGCCUUUGACUCGCCCAACUAGGCUUGGUAGUUCACCUUCGAGCACGAGGAGGCCAGGCGGCGCGACGUCCGCGAAGUCGGCCACGGGUCGCCGCCGACCCCCCUCGUCAUCCGCGACGAGGACUAGGAGGUGGAGGCCUCCUACCAGGCGACCGUGGCAGCCGUCCUUCAGGAGAGCGAGGAGGAGGAGUGUCGCAGGGAGGAAGAGGAGGCGGCAUAGCAGGCGGCCAUGGCGGAGGCCAUGGCCCUCUCCGCGGUGGGCGACUGCGUCGUGCUGCCGAUGGCCCCGCCUUCUCCCGUUAAGGUAGAGCCGGAGCCGACCCCGUCGAGCGCUACUCAUGGACCGGGUGAUUGCGCGAGUGGGUUAGUGCUCCGCCGGUCUGGAUGGGGGCGACGCUGGUGCAGGAGGUUUCGUUAACUGUCUUAUCUUCUAGUAUAUGUUCUAUUCUGCAAUGUCGUGCUCAGUUAACUGUUUUGGUUCAUUUGUUCUAUUGUCUAGUUAACUGUUUGGUUCAAUUCUGCAAUUUGAUUUUCAUUUUUUGUGGGUACAAUUUUGUAUUGGUAUGCACGUGAGAAAUAAAUCGAAUUUUGAUGUACUCAAUACAUAUUCUAUUGAUAGUAUGACAAUUUUCAGUUAACCUGAUCAUGAUCUUCCUUAUAUGUGUUGCAGGGAAACAAUGGGAGGCACUGCAGUUUACCAUCGAGGUUUGCUCAUGCAUGGUCCUUUUGCUAAUAGCACAUUAUUGUGUAGUUGUAGGAAUCAUUCUAAUAUUUAGGUUUCUUACAAUUUGGUCUUGCACAUGUAGGUCAUGCUGUCAGAGGCUUAGACCCACUAUUCGACCCAUUUUGCAUAUGGGGAAAUGAGAUGUCCAUGAAUAUCAGUCAAGUCAAGAAACUCAGAAAGAUUGUUAGGAUAAAGAAACUUGCAACGAAUAAUAGCAAGAUCUUUGUUUGCACAAUGAAGAAGACAACAGUCAACUAUAGGAUGGUACUAACUCUUUUACCUUGUUUUUUACCCCUUGUGUCAUUUCAAUAUUUAUAACAGCAAUUUAUGCAUAUCUUUGUUUUUAGUACUUUCCAAAGCAGUUCACCGAUGAUUACUUCUCAAACCACUUGCAUGGUCAAGAGGCGAGGAAGGUAUUUAUUCAACACCCACGGUACAAUAUUGAAGUCUUCCUGAAGAGAACGAAGGUUGGAUGGACAAUUAUCCAUAGCCACUGGCCUAAAGUUGAAGGACAUUCAACAUCACUGAAGGCUCAAUAUUCGCCUUCCGCUUCUGCAGUUUCCUAGAUGAGAUUCAUCAGUCUAUUUACCAUGUAUGAUGCUACUUUCCAAAGGUUUUCGAUGUUGCAUGUAAAACUUGGUGUUGUUGUGUAAUGGCAUGGCUACCUAUAUCCCUCUUUUGAUGUAACCGAGUGCUGAAGCUAUAUGAUAUAAUUUGGUUAUGAAAUCCUGGUCGCCGUUAUACGGAUAUGAAAUAUCUGGUGUAUUUUAUAAGAAAUGUCAAUUUGAUUACUACAUGGAUUAUCAAUAAUAGGAUAAUUACACCGCUUAUUCGGGUUUUCUAUUGCAGACGGUUACUCUGACAACACACCAGAUUACUGCAUGAACUCAAACAACCCACACGGUUUCGAGAAAGUAGUCCUAUUGGAUCAACUAACAAUCACACACGGCUUCCGAUAGAGAACUGUUUGCGUUAGGCCACCUUGCACAAAUGUUUCCACACAAAAAACUGCGUGUGAUAUUGAAGGAAAUAUGCCCUAGAGGCAAUAAUAAAGUUGCUAUUUAUAUUUCCUUAUAUCAUGAUAAAUGUUUAUUAUUCAUGCUAGAAUUGUAUUAACCGGAAACUUAGUACAUGUGUGAAUACAUAGACAAAACAGAGUGUCCCUAGUAUGCCUCUACUUGACUAGCUCGUUAAUCAAAGAUGGUUAGGUUUCCUAGCCAUAGACAUGUGUUGUCAUUUGAUGAACGGGAUCGCAUCAAGUUACUACCGAACCUCGUAGGUCAACCAGAGUACGUUCCGCACCAGAGUGGUAUGGUAAUCCUGUUCUGAAAGUCAUGUUGCUAGACCAUGACGAACCUACGAACUAUGAGGAAGCGAUGAUGAGCCCAAAUUCGGCAAAAUGGUUUAAGGCCAUGAAAUAUGAGAUAGGAUCCAUGUAUGAGAACAAAGUAUGGACUUUCGUGGACUUGCCCGAUGAUCGGCGAGCCAUUGAGAAUAAAUGGAUCUUCAAGAGGAAGACAGACGCCGAUGGUAGUGUUACUAUCUACAAAGCUCGACUUCUCGCGAAAGGUUUUCGACAAGUUCAAGGUGUUGACUACGAUGAGAUUUUCUCACUUGUAGCGAUGCUUAAGUCUCUCCGAAUCAUGUUAGCAAUUGCUGCAUUUUAUGAAAUCUGGCAAAUGGAUAACAAAACUACAUUCCUUAAUGAAUUUAUUAAAGAAGAGUUGUAUAUGAUGCAACCAGAAGGUUUUGUCAAUCCUAAAUGUGCUAACAAAGUGUGCAAGCUCCAGCGAUCCAUCUAUGGACUGGUGCAAGCAUCUCGGAGUUGGAAUAUACGCUUGAUGAGUUGAUCAAAGCAUAUAGUUUUAUACAGACUUGCGCUGAAGCCUGUAUUUACAAGAAAGUGAGUGGGAGCACUACAACCUUUCUGAUAAGUAUAUGUGAAUGACAUAUUGUUGAUCGGAAAUGUAAGGGCAUAUUUAUCCCUUAGGUGUUUUGGUGAUUGAUGACAAUGCUUUUACGGACUAAUCGUGUGCCUUGAGUUUCUCAUACGCUUCAUCACUAAGCACGAGAUGAUUCGGUGCCCCUCGAAGACUAUUGAAGACGACGUUGUUCUACGAUUCUCUUUGGUGGAUUUGAGUCGUAGGAGAGCCGUACUAUUAAGAGGGGGUCCGCGUCGGAAAGGUUUGGGUGGAAUCAACACGUACACAUGUCCUUCCUUUCCUUUGCACUUUGGAGUGUCUCUCUGUUAUCCUAGUAGUGCUUAAUCUGACGGCUACUACUGUACUUGCGGUAGUACUGCUCUAUGGAGCGGUAGUACCGCAAGGACCUGCGGUAGUACCGCUGGGGGUCACGGUAGUACCGCUCCUCUGGAGCCUUAGUACCGUGGCUCCCAGGCCUAGUGCUACUCCGGUAUGGCAGUAGGGGCGGAUGUAAUUUUUUACAUCCACGCCCACAUGGUAGUACCGCACGACCUGCGCGGUAGUACCGCGGGAGGCCACGGUAGUACCGCUCCCCUGGAGUCAUAGUACCGUGGCCCUCAUACCUAGUACCGCUGCGUCACGGUAGUAGGAGCGGAUGUAAUUUUUUACAUCCGCGCCUCAACGGUAGUACCGCGCCUCAUGCACGGUAGUACCGCGUCGGAUUUUUUGCACUGUUUCAUUUUCAACGGAAGUAGGCAUGGAUGUAUUUUAUUUCAUCCACACUCUUCGUAGGCUUUGAUUUUCCUGCCUUGCGGUAGUACCGCAAGGGGGAGCGGUAGUACCGCGCAAGCGGUAGUACUGCACUCAGUCAGGCAAGUCCCGGCCUCUGCUGCUGCCACGGAAGUUCCGUGGUCCUCCACGGUAGUAUCGCGUGGCCUUGCGGUAGUACCACGCUCCUGAAGCGGUAGUACCGCAUGUCGCAGGCUGAACAUGUGGAUAACGGUUGGAUCUUUUCCAUGACUAUAAAAGGGGCGUCUCCUACCUCUAGUUGACUACCUCUUACACCUCUAAGCUCCAUUGUUGCUCCAAGCUCCAUUUUGGCCCAAUCUCUCUCCCUAGCCAAUCAAACUUAUUGAUUUGCUCGGGAUUGGGUGACAAGGGCCCGAUCUACACUUCCACCAAGAGAUAUUCGAUUCCCCCACUAAUCCCUAGCGGAUCUUGUUACUCUUGGGUGUUUGAGCACCCUAGACGGUGGAGGUCACCUCUAAGCCAUACUCCAUUGUGGUGAAGCUUCAUGGUGUUGUUGGGAGCCUCCAAGUGUUGUGGAGAUUGCCCCAACCUUGUUUGUAAAGGUUUGGUCGCCGCCUUCAAGGGCACCAAUAGUGGAAUCAUGGCAUCUCGCAUUGUGUGAGGGCGUGAGGAGAUUACGGUGGCCCUAGUGGCUUCUUCGGGAGCAUUGUGCCUCCACACCGCUCUAACGGAGACGUACUUCCCUUUAAAAGGAAGGAACUUCUGUAACACAUCCUCGUCUUCACCGGCUCCACUCUUGGUUAUUUCGUGCCUUUACUUUUGCAAGGUUACUUGUGUUGUAUCUAUUGCUUGCUUAUGUGCUAGUUUUCAUUGCAUCAUAUAGGUUGUCCACUUAGUUGCAUAUCUAGACAGCCUAUUUUGUCGCAAGGUUUAAAUUGUUAAAGAAAAGCUUAAAAAUUGUUAGUUGCCUAUUCACCCCUUCUAGUCAACCAUAUCGAUCCUUUCAAUUGGUAUCAGAGCCUCGUCUCUUUAUUAAGGACUUUGCCGUCCGAAGAGUAUGGUUGACACCAACGACAGUGCGGAGGAGCACUCCAUUGUGAAUCCUAUCUCGUCUACGACCGAUGGGGGAACCUCGGUCUCCCGUGAGGAGUUCAAUGUGGCUUUAGACACAUUGAAAACCUCCAUGACGACCGAGGUUGAAAGCAUGUUUACUAAAUUCCUAGAAGGACUUAAACUAUCCACCUCACCGAUGAAAGUGGGUGAUCCCACUAACAAGGUGAUGGAUGCUAACUCCGACAAGGGGGAAGCUAAUAGUGAAAAGGGUCCUUCUACUAGUGGUAGAAAUGGCACCGGCAUCUAUGCCCAUGUGGAACCUCCUACUUAUGGUGGACCGAUUCCCUCUACUCAUUUAAAUCAUGUCGGUCCUCCUCCUAAGAUUGUGAAAAAUGAGGAUUUUGAUGCUUGGGUUUAUCGUUUCAAGCAUCAUUUAAAACAUGUGAAUACUAAUCUUUGGAGAAUCAUAGAAGAAGGUUUCUAUCCACAUGACCCUAGCAACUUCACCCCUCGAGAAGCCGUGGAUAAUCAAUUCAAUGAGAGUGCUCUCUUCAUCAUCCAAGAUGCAAUCAUUCCCGAAGAUCUCCCUCAUCUUCGACCUCAUGCCAUGGCUAAAGACGCAUGGCAAUGUGUUGUGUCUCUCUAUCGAGGAAGUGCUAGCAUUCAAUGCUCCAACUAUGAAGUGGUGCAAGAUGAAGCCGAUGAGUUUGCAAUGAAAGAAGAUGACGAACCUCGUGAGCUCUUUUGAAGAGUGACCAAACUCGCGGUCGCACUCCGAGAUCAUGGGAGCAAGGACACGGAUGACAAUUGGAUCAAGCGCAAGUUCCUCAAGGCCAUGAUGCCCUACAACAAGGCCAUGUCCUCCGUCAUUCGUCAAAGACCGGAUUUCCACUCCAUGACCUCAAGUGAAGUGUUGGAUGAGUUUGUUGCAAUGAGCAUCUUGGACAAGACCACCGACAAUGCGGUGCUCCGUUCUCAAAGGGCAAAGAAGCCCAACCUUACCUUGAAGGCCAAGGUUAGUGUGGAAGAAGAGGAAGAAGAAGAAGAUGAGGAGAGCAACCCCGAAGACACGAAAUAUGAUUAUCAUGAGCACAUGGCUCUUGCCUCAAGACAAUUUUGGAGCAAGAAGAAUACAAGACCCAACUUCAACAAGAACAACUCAAGUGGCCUCAAGGGCAAGCAACGAGUUAGAACUUGUUUCAACUGUGGCAAUGUGAGCCAUUUCGUUGCGGAUUGUCCUUACGAGAAGCGGGAAGACAAUGGUGGCAAGUUCAUCCGAAAAGACAAAGCCAAGUCCUUCCCCAACAAGAACAACUUCACCAAGAAGACUCCUACUCAUGGGUUGGUAGUUCAAGAAGAAUACGGUGAGGAUGACGAUGAUGAUGAAGAUAGUGAAGCAAUGGCUAUGGCAUCUGUUGCCAUUGCCACAACUCCCUGGGUGUCUCUCUUCGAUUCACCCAACGAGAACAUCACCGCCAAGUGCCUCAUGGCUAAAGCCACCAACAAGGUAACCCCCAACAUCAAACCACCAUUAUUCCUAAUCCUUCUUCGGCGGUUGGCUUUGAUGAUGGUAAGGGGUCUAAUGAGGAGAUAAAUGAAUUUGAGUCCUUCAUGAGUAAGCUCAAGGGCAAAUCCAAGAAGCACUUCGUUGCUCUCUUGGAACAACUUGGUGAAGCCAAUGACAUGAUCGAGGCUCACGAAGAAACCAUCUCUAAGAUGGAAGGUCAUAGUCGUGACUAUGCCGAUGAGAUAUCGGAUCUCUCUAAUGCUCUUGAGGAAGAGCGUGGGCAUCGUUUGGCUCUUGUGGAGUCACACAACGAUGACCAUGCCAAAUUAAAGAAAGAUCUUGAUCAUGCUCUUAUUGUGUCUCGUGUACUAACUUCCGAGAAGGCUAAACUUGGGGUUGAUCAUGCUAGACUCAAGGAGGAGUUUGAUGUACUUGACAAGGCCCAUAAGGUCUUGAAAGGUGCUCAUGCAAACCUCAAGGAGUCUCAUGCCCAACUCCAAGUUAAGCUAACCAAGGAAAAGGCCACAUUUCCUCACAUGGUCUUAAUUGAUAAUGCAAAUGCUACUAACCCGUGUUGUGAGCAUGUGCAUCUUGUGGAGGAGAAUGCCAAGUUGAAGGAACAACUCGAGAAAGGUCUUGUGUCAUGCAUACAAGGUGAGAAGAACCUAAACGACCUUUUGAGCAAUCAAAAGGAAGUUGUGGGCAAGGAGGGAGUUGGGUUCUCACCCAAGUCCAAGAGCAAGAAGAAGAACGAGAAGAAGAAUAACAAGACCAAACGACCUCCCCUGCUUAAGCAAACUUUUGUGAAGGAGGGAGAGGGUGCUCCUAAGGAGAAGAAGAACAAUGCGAAGAGUGGUGAUGCCAAAAAGGGCAAAGCCAUCUCUCCCAACAAAGCCGGCAACUUUAACCCCUCUUAUGUGUUGUGUCGUGCUAGUGAUGGGCAUGUUUAUGCUAAAUUUGUUGGUUCUUCUUAUGAGUAAAUUGAAUGGUCUAUUUGGGUUCCUAAGACCCUUGUUACUAACAUCAAAGGACCCAUUACUAAAUGGGUACCUAAAACCAUGCAUUGCUCUCUUGUAGGUGUUUGCUUCUGGUGGGGGAUCAUGGUUGCUCGAUAGUGGAGCAACAAAUCAUAUGACCGGGAGCAAGGACUUGGUGGUGAACGUGCAAAAGAUCCCAUCUAUGCCCACCAAUGUCGAGUGGGGUGAUGCCUCACAUUCUAAGGUAUUGGGUCUUGGCAAGGUUGUCAUUUCUCAUGAUCUAACGAUCGAGAAAGUCAUGCUUGUUGAGUACCUUGCGUUCAAUUUACUUUCCGUUCGUCAACUUGCACUCAUGGGCUUUGUCACCUUCUUUGUAUUGAUACCGUGGCCCUCUUGUGGAGCAAGAUUCUUAAAGUAGCCUUUGUUGGGCAUGUCAAGAAUGGUCUCUAUGUGAUUAACUUUUCGGAGCAACCCGCUAAGACCGCGACAUGCCUAAUGGCUAAAGUUGAUGUGGGAUGGCUUUGGCAUCGCCGUUUAGCCCACGUCAAUAUGAGAUCUUUGCAAAGUCUUCUCAAGGGGGACCAUGUCCGUGGACUAACAAAUGUUAGUUUUGCCAAAGAUCGUGCUUGCAGUGCUUGUAUCGAAGGAAAGCUUCAUGAGACGGCUCACCCUCCCACGACUAUCAUCUACUCGAAGAGACCCUUGGAGCUCCUGCACAUGGACCUCUUUGGGCCUCCAUCCUUUGAUAGUCUUGGGGGUAGAAAGUAUUGCUUGGUGAUUGUGGAUGAUUAUUCAAGAUACACUUGGGUAUACUUCUUCAAGAGGAAGAGUGAGACUCAACAAACCGUCAUCGACUUUGCAAAUGAAGCUCAAUGUCAACAUAAUGCAAAGAUCUUGACAAUAAGAAGUGACAACGGCACCGAGUUCAAGAACUACACCUUGGAUGAGUUUCUUAGUGAUGAGGGGAUCAAGCAUCAAUAUUCUGCACCAUAUACCCCUCAACAAAAUGGUGUUGCGGAGAGGAAGAACCGGAUGUUGAUGGAUGCGGCAAGGACCAUGAUGGCGAAGUUCAAGUCUCCAUACAACUUUUGGGCCAAAGCCAUCAACACGGCAUGUCAUGCAUCCAAUCGGCUCUAUCUCCGCAAAGGCUUGAACACGACUCCUUAUGAGAUACUCAUCGGAAACAAGCCCAAUCUCAAGUACUUCCGGGUGUUUGGGUGUAAGCAUUUCAUUCUCAAGAAAGGUGUUCGUUUGUCUAAAUUUGAGGCUAGAGCUUAUGAGGUCAUAUUUGUUGGUUAUGCUACAAACUCUCAUGCUCACCGUGUGAAGGAAAUAUGCCCUAGAGGCAAUAAUAAAGUUAUUAUUUAUUUCCUUAUUCCAAGAUAAAUGUUUAUUAUUCAUGCUAGAAUUGUAUUAACCGGAAACAUAAUACAUGUGUGAAUACAUAGACAAACAUAGUGUCACUAGUAUGCCUCUACUUGACUAGCUCGUGAAUCAAAGAUGGUUAAGUUUCCUAGCCAUGGACGAAAGAGUUUUCAUUUGAUUAACGCAAUCACAUCAUUAGGAGAAUGAUGUGAUUGACAUGACCCAUUCUGUUAGCCUAGCACUUGAUCGUUUAGUAUAUUGCUAUUGCUUUCUUCAUGACUUAUACAAAGUUCCUGCAACUAUGAGAUUGUGCAAAUCCCAUUUACUGGAAGAACACUUUAUGUGCUACCAAACGUCACAAUGUAACUGGGUGAUUAUAAAGGUGCUCUACAGGUGUUUCCGAAGGUACAUGUUGGGUUGGCAUAAUUCGAGAUUAGGUUUUGUCACUCCGAUUGUCGGAGAGGUAUCUCUAGGCCCUCUCGGUAAUACUCAUCACCUAAGCCUUGCAAGCAUUGUAACUAAUGAGUUAGUUAUAAGAUGAUGUGUUACAGAACGAGUAAAGAGACUUGCCGGUAAUGAGAUUGAACUAGGUAUUGGAUACCAACGAUCAAAUCUCGGGCAAGUAACAUACCGAUGACAAAGGGAACAAUGUAUGUUGUUAUGCGGUUUGACCGAUAAAAGAUCUUCGUAGAAUAUGUAGGAACCAAUAUGGGCAUCCAGGUCCCGCUAUUGGUUAUUGACCGAGAAUGGUUCUAGGUCAUGUCUACAUAGUUCUUGAACCCGUAGGGUCCGCACGCUUAACGUUACGAUGACAGUUUUAUUAUGAGUUUAUAAGUUUUGAUGUACCUAAGUUUGUUCGGAGUCCCGGAUGUGAUCACGGACAUGACGAGGAGUCUCGAAAUGGUCGAGACAUAAAGAUUGAUAUAUUGGAUGUCUAUAUUCGGACACCAGAAGUGUUUCGGACGUUUUCGGAGAAAACCGGAGUGCCGGAGGGUUACCGGAACCCCCCCCCGGGAGAGAUAAUGGGCCACAUGGGCCUUGGUGGAAAGAGAGAGGGGCGGCCAUGGUGGGCUGUGCUCCCCCUCUCCCUCUGGUCCGAAUUGGACUAGGAGGGGGGGCGGCGCCCCCCUCUUUCCUUCCCCCCUCUCCCCCUUCCUUUCCCCUCCUAGUAGGAGUAGGAAAGGGGGAGUCCUACUCCUACUAGGAGGAGGACUCCUCCUCCUUGGCAUGCCCACAAGGGCCGGCCGGCCUCCCCCUCCCUCCUUUAUAUACGGGGGCAGGGGGGCACCCCAGGACACACAAGUUGAUCUACGGAUCGUUCCUUAGCCGUGUGCGGUGCCCCCCUCCACCAUAUUCCACCUCGGUCAUAUUGUCGCGGAGUUUAGGCGAAGCCCUGCACCGGUAGAACAUCAUCAUCGUCACCACGCCGUCGUGCUGACGGAACUCAUCCCCGAAGCUUUGCUGGAUCGGAGGCCGGGGAUCGUCAUCGAGUUGAACGUGUGCUGAACUCGGAGGUGCCGUACGUUCGGUGCUUGGAUCGGUCGGAUCGUGAAGACGUACGACUACAUCAACCGCGUUGUCAUAACGCUUCCGCUUACGGUCUACGAGAGUACAUGGACGAACACUCUCCCCUCUCGUUGCUAUGCCAUCACCAUGAUCUUGCGUGUGCGUAGGAAAUUUUUUGAAAUUACUACGUUCCCCAAUAGUGGCACCCGAGCCAGGUUUUAUGCGUAGAUGUCAUAUGCACGAGUAGAACACAAGUGAGUUGUGGGCGAUACAAGUCAUACUGCUUACCAGCAUGUCAUACUUUGGUUCGGCGGUAUUGUGAGAUGAAGCGGCCCGGACCGACAUUACGCGUACGCUUACGCGAGACUGGUUUCACCGUUGCGAGCACUCGUGCUUAAAGGUGGCUGGCGGGUGUCUGUCUCUCUCACUUUAGCUGAAUCGAGUGUGGCUAUGCCUAGUCAUUGCGAAGGUUAAAACAGCACCAACUUGACGAACUAUCGUUGUGGUUUUUAUGCGUAGGUAAGAACGGUUCUUGCUAAAGCCCGUAGCAGCCACGUAAAAUUUGCAACAACAAAGUAGAGGACAUCUAACUUGUUUUUGCAGGGCAUGUUGUGAUGUGAUAUGGUCAAGACGUGAUGCUAUAUUUUAUUGUAUGAGAUGAUCAUGUUUUGUAACCGAAGUUAUCGGCAACUGGCAGGAGCCAUAUGGUUGUCGCUUUAUUGUAUGAAAUGCAAACGCCCUGUAAUUGCUUUACUUUAUCACUAAGUGGUAGCGAUAGUCGUAGAAGCAAUAGAUGGCGUAACGACAACGAUGCUACGAUGGAGAUCAAGGUGUCGCGCCGGUGACGAUGGUGAUCACGACGGUGCUUCGAAGAUGGAGAUCACAAGCACAAGAUGAUGAUGGCCAUAUCAUAUCACUUAUAUUGAUUGCAUGUGAUGUUUAUCCUUUAUGCAUCUUAUCUUGCUUUGAUUGACGGUAGCAUCUUAAGAUGAUCUCUCACUAAUUAUCAAGAAGUGUUCUCCCUGAGUAUGCACCAUUGCCAAAGUUCGUCGUGCCCAGACACCACGUGAUGAUCGGGUGUGAUAAGCUCUACGUCCAUCUACAACGGGUGCAAGCCAGUUUUGCACACGCAGAAUACUCAGGUUAAACUUGACGAGCCUAGCAUAUGCAGAUAUGGCCUCGGAACACGGAGACCGAAAGGUCGAGCAUGAAUCAUAUAGUAGAUAUGAUCAACAUAGUGAUGUUCACCAUUGAAAACUACUCCAUCUCACGUGAUGAUCGGUUAUGGUUUAGUUGAUUUGGAUCACGUGAUCACUUAGAUGACUAGAGAGAUGUCUGUCUAAGUGGGAGUUCUUAAGUAAUAUGAUUAAUUGAACUUAAAUUUAUCAUGAACUUAGUACCUGGUAGUGUUUUGCAAAUUAUGUUGUACAUCAAUAGUUUGCGUUGUUGCUUUCAUAUGUUUAUUUUUAUAUGUUCCUAGAGAAAAUUGUGUUGAAAGAUGUUAGUAGCAAUGAUGCGGAUUGGAUCCGUGAUCUGAGGUUUAUCCUCAUUGCUGCACAGAAGAAUUAUGUCCUUAAUGCACCGCUAGGUGACAGACCUAUUGCAGGAGCAGAUGCAGACGUUAUGAACAUUUGGCUAGCUCAAUAUGAUGACUACUUGAUAGUUUAGUGCACCAUGCUUAACGGCUUAGAAUUGGGACUUCAAAGACGUUUUGAACGUCAUGGACCAUAUGAGAUGUUCCAGGAGUUGAAGUUAAUAUUUCAAGCAAAUACCCGAGUUGAGAGAUAUGAAGUCUCCAACAAGUUCUAUGGCUAAAAGAUGGAGGAGAAUCGCUCAACUAAUGAGCAUGUGCUCAGAUUGUCUGGGUACUACAAUCGCUUGAAUCAAGUGGAAGUUAAUCUUCCAGAUAAGAUAGUGAUUGACAGAAUUCUCUAGUCACCAUCACCAAGUUAGUAGAACUUUGUGAUGAACUAUAGUAUGCAAGGGAUGACAAAAACGAUUCCCGAGCGCUUCGUGAUGUUGAAAUCAACGAAGUUAGAAAUCAAGAAAGAGCAUCAAGUGUUGAUGGUUGACAAGAUCACUAGUUUCAAGAAAAAGGGCAAAGGGAAAGAAAGGGGAACUUCAAGAAGAACGGCAAGCAAAUUGUUGCUCAAGUGAAGAAGCCCAAAUCUGGUCCUAAGCCUGAGACUAAGUGCUUCUACUACAAAGGGACUGGUCACUGGAAGCGGAACUACCCCAAGUGAUUGAUGGACAAGAAGGAUGGCAAAGUGAACAUAAGUAUAUUUGAUAUUGAUGUGUACUUUACUAGUGUUUAUAGCAACCCCUCAGUAUUUGAUACUAGUUCAGUUGCUAAGAUUAGUAACUCGAAACGGGAUUGCAGAAUAAACAGAGACUAGUUAAGGGUGAAAUGACGAUGUAUGUUGGAAGUGGUUCCAAGAUUGAUAUGAUCAUCAUCGCACACUCCCUAUACUUUCGGGAUUAGUGUUGAACCUAAAUAAGUGUUAUUUGGUGUUUGCGUUGAGCAUGAAUAUGAUUUGAUCAUGUUUAUUGCAAUACGGUUAUUCAUUUAAGUUAGAGAAUAAUUGUUGUUCUGUUUACAUGAAUAGAACCUUCUAUGGUCAUACACACCAACAAAAAUGGUUUGUUGGAUCUCGAUCGUAGUAAUACACAUAUUCAUAAUAUUGAAACCAAAAAGAUGCAAAGUUAAUAAUGAUAGUGCAACUUAUUUGUGGCACUGCCGUUUGGGUCAUAUCGGUGUAAAGCGCAUGAAGAAACUCCAUAAAGAUGGAUUUUUAGAAUCACUUGGUUAUGAAUCAUUUGAUGCUUGCGAGCCGUGCCUAUUGGGCAAGAUGACUAAAAACUCCGUUCUCCGGAACAAUGGAACGAGCUACUGACUUAUUGGAAGUAAUACAUACCGAUGUAUGCGAUCCAAUGAGUGUUGAUGCUCGUGGCAAGUAUCGUUAUUUUCUGACCUUCACAAGAUGAUUUGAGCAGAUAUGGGUAUAUCUACUUGAUGAAACAUAAGUCUGAAAUAGUUGAAAGGUUCAAAGAAUUUCAGAGUGAAGUGGAAGAAUCAUCAUAACAAGAAAAUAAAGUUUCUGCAAUCUGAUCGCGGAGACGAAUAUUUGAGUUACGAGUUUGGUCUUCAAUUAAAACAAUGUGGAAUAGUUUCACAAACUCAUGCCACCUGGAACACCACAACUUAAUGGUGUGUCCGAACGUCAUAACAGUACUUUAUUGGAUAUAGUGCAAUCUAUGAUGUCUCUUAUCGGUUUUACCACUAUCGUUUUGGGGUUGUGCAUUAGAGAUAGCUGCAUUCACGUUAAAAGGGCACCAUCUAAAUCCGUUGAUACGACAACAUAUGAACUGUGGUUUGGCAAGAAACCAAAGUUGUUAUUUCUUAAAGUUUGGGGCUGCGAUGCUUAUGUGAAGAUACUUAAACCAGAUAAGCUCAAACCCAAAUCGGAGAAGUGCGUCUUCAUAGAAUACCCAAAGGAAACUAUUGGGUACACCUUCUAUCACAGAUCCGAAGGCAAGUUAUUCGUUGCUAAGAUGGAUCCUUUCUAGAAAAGGAGUUUCUCUCGAAAGAAGUGAGUGGGAGGAAAGUAGAACUUGAUGAGGUAAUUGAACCUUCUCCCUUAUUGGAAAGUAGUUCAUCACAGAAAUCAGUUCCAGUGACUACUACACCAAUUAGUGAGGAAGUUAAUGAUGAUGAUCAUGAAACUUCAGAUUAAGUUACUACAGAAUCUCGUAGGUCUUACAGAGUAAGAUCCGCACCAGAGUGUGUAUGGUAAUCCUGUUCUGGAAGUUAUGUUACUAGACCAUGACGAACCUACGAACUAUGAAGAAGCGAUGGUGAGCCCAGAUUCCGCAGCAUGGCUUGAGGCCAUGAGAUCUGAGAUAAGAUCCAUGUAUGAAAACAAAGUAUGGACUUUGAUUGACUUGCCCAAUGAUCAGCGAGACAUUGAGAUUAAAUGGAUCUUCAAGAGGAAGACAGACGCUGAUAGUGUUACUAUCUACAAAGCUAGAAUUGUCGCAAAAGUUUUCGACAAGUUCAAGGUGUUGACUACGAUGAGAGUUUUUUUCACUCGUAUCUAUGCUUAAGUCUAUCUGAAUCAUAUUAGCAAUUGCCGCAUUUUAUGAAAUCUGGCAAAUGGAUAAACAAAACUGCAUUCCUUAAUGGUUUUCUUAAAGAAGAGUUGUAUAUGAUGCAACCAGAAGGUUUUGUCAAUCCUAAAGGUGCUAACAAAUUGUGCAAGCUCUAGCGAUCCAUCUAUGGACUGGUGCAAGCAUCUCGGAGUUGGAAUAUAUGCUUUGAUGAGUUGAUCAAAGCAUAUGGUUUUAUACAGACUUUUGAAGAAGCCUGUAUUUACAAGAAAGUGAGUGGGAGCUCUAUAGCAUUUCUAAUAUUAUAUGUGGAUGACAUAUUGUUAAUUGGAAAUGAUAUGGAAAUUCUGGAUAGCAUGAAAGGAUACUUGAAUAAGAGUUUUUCAAAGCAAGACCUCGAUGAAGCUGCUUACACAUUGAGCAACAAGGUCUAUAUAGAUAGAUCAAGACGCUUGAUGAGAUUUUUCAAUGAGUACAUACCUUGAUAAAUUUCUUGAAAUAGUUCAAAAUGGAACAGUCAAAGAAAGGAGUUCUUGCCUGUGUUACAAGGUGUGAAGUUGAGUAAGACUCAAGACCCGACCAUUGCAGAAAAUAGAAAAAGAAUAAAAAGUCAUUCCCUAUGCCUCAGUCAUAGGUUCUAUAAAGUAUGCUAUGCUCUGAACAGACCUAUUGUAUACCUUGCUCUGUGUUUGGCAAAGGAAUACAAUUUUGAUCUAAUAAGUAGAUCACUGGUCAUGGGUCAAGAAUAUCCUUAAUGAGGACUAAGGAGAUGUUUCUCGAUUAUGGAGGUGACAAAAGAGCCCGUCGUAAAAGUUACAAUGACGCAAGGUUUUACACCAAUCCAGAUGACUCUAAGUCUCAAUCUCGAUACAUAUUAAAAGUGGGAGCAAUUAGCUAGAGUAGCUCCGUGCAGAGAAUUGUGGACAUAGAAUAUUUGCGAAAUACAUACGGCUCUGAAUAUGACAGACCCGUUGACUAAAGCUUCUCUCACGAGCAAAACAUGAUCAUACCUUAGUACUCUUUUGGUUGUUAAUCACAUAGCAACGUGAACUAGAUUAUUGACUCUAGAAAACCCUUUGGGUGUUGAUCACAUGAUGAUGUGAACUAUGGGUAUUAAUCACAUGCAGAUGUGAAUAUUGGUGUUAAAUCACAUAGCGAUGUGAACUAUAUUAUUGACUCUAGUGCAAGUGGGAGACUGAAGGAAAUAUGCCCUAGAGGCAAUAAUAAAGUUAUUAUUUAUUUCCUUAUUCCAUGAUAAAUGUUUAUUAUUCAUGCUAGAAUUGUAUUAACCGGAAACAUCAUACAUGUGUGAAUACAUAGACAAACAUAGUGUCACUAGUAUGCCUCUACUUGACUAGGUCGUGAAUCAAAGAUGGUUAAGUUUCCUAGCCAUGGACAAAAGAGUUGUCAUUUGAUUAACGGGAUCACAUCAUUAGGAGAAUGAUGUGAUUGACAUGAACCAUUCCAUUAGCCUAGCACUUGAUCGUUUAGUAUAUUGCUAUUGCUUUCUUCAUGACUUAUACAAAGUUCCUGCAACUAUGAGAUUGUGGAACUCCCAUUUACCGGAAGAACACUUUGUGUGCUACCAAACGUCACAACGUAACUGGGUGAUUAUAAAGGUGCUCUACAGGUGUUUCCGAAGGUACAUGUUGGGUUGGCAUAAUUCGAGAUUAGGUUUUGUCACUCCGAUUGUCGGAGAGGUAUCUCUGGGCCCUCUCGGUAAUACUCAUCACCUAAGCCUUGCAAGCAUUGUAACUAAUGAGUUAGUUAUAAGAUGAUGUGUUACAGAACGAGUAAAGAGACUAGCCGGUAACGAGAUUGAACUAGGUAUUGGAUACCGACGAUCAAAUCUCGGGCAAGUAACAUACCGAUGACAAAGGGAACAACGUAUGUUGUUAUGCGGUUUGACCGAUAAAAGAUCUUCGUAGAAUAUGUAGGACCCAAUAUGGGCAUCCAGGUCCCGCUAUUGGUUAUUGACCGAGAAUGGUUCUAGGUCAUGUCUACAUAGUUCUUGAACCCGUAGGGUCCGCACGCUUAACGUUACGAUGACAGUUUUAUUAUGAGUUUAUAAGUUUUGAUGUACCGAAGUUUGUUCGGAGUCCCGGAUGUGAUCACGGACAUGACGAGGAGUCUCGAAAUGGUUGAGACAUAAAGAUUGAUAUAUUGGACGACUAUAUUCGGACACCGGAAGUGUUCCGGACGUUUUCGGAGAAAACCGGAGUGCUGGAGGGUUACCGGAACCCCCACCCCCCGGGAGAGAUAAUGGGCCACAUGGGCCUUGGUGGAAAGAGAGAGGGCGGCUAGGGUGGGCCGCGCGCCCCCUCUCCCUCUGGUCCAAAUUGGACAAGGAGGGGGGGCGGCGCCCCCCUCUUUCCUUCCCCCCUCUCCCCCUUCCUUUCCCCUCCUAGUAGGAGUAGGAAAGGGGGAGUCCUACUCCUACUAGGAGGAGGACUCCUCCUCCUUGGCGCGCCCACAAGGGCCGGCCGGCCUCCCCCCUCCCUCCUUUAUAUACGGGGGCAGGGGGGCACCCCAGGACACACAAGUUGAUCUACGGAUCAUUCCUUAGCCGUGUGCGGUGCCCCCCUCCACCAUAUUCCACCUCGGUCAUAUCGUCGCGGAGUUUAGGUGAAGCCCUGCGCUAGUAGAACAUCAUCAUCGUCACCACGCCGUCGUGCUGAUGGAACUCAUCCCCGAAGCUUUGCUGGAUCGGAGCCCGGGGAUCGUCAUCGAGCUGAACGUGUGCUGAACUCGGAGGUGCCAUACGUUCGGUGCUUGGAUCGGUCGGAUCGUGAAGAUGUACGACUACAUUAACCGCGUUGUCAUAACGCUUCCGCUUACGGUCUAUGAGGGUACGUGGAGGAACACUCUCCCCUCUCGUUGCUAUGCCAUCACCAUGAUCUUGCGUGUGCGUAGGAAAUUUUUGAAAUUACUACGUUCCCCAACACCGUGUUCUCAACAAGUCCACCAGACUCAUUGAGAAGACGUGUAACAUGGAGUUUGAUGAAAAUAACGGCUCCCAAGUGGAGCAAAGUGGUACUUGCGAUGUAGGUGAUGAAAUUCCUCCCCAAGCCAUAAGAAGAAUGGGUAUUGGUCAUAUUCUACCCAUUGAGGAACCCCUUGUGGCCGAAGGAGAAGGACAAUGCUCCACUCAAGUGGAGCCUUCACCUACUCAAGACCCACACGCUUCCGAAUAACAAAGUGUAGGCCCUCAACCUUGGGAACAAGACCAAGGGCAAGAUCAAUCUCAAGAUGGUGGUGAACCUCCAAAUGAUGCCCAAGGUCAAGUUCUCCCCCUCGAGCAAGUUCAAGAUCUUGAGCAAGCUCAAGAUCAAGAACAAGCUCAAGAUGGCGCUCAAGAUGAUCAAGUUAACCCUCCUCCUUCCACAUCCAAGGAGGAAUUAGAGCGUCGUGCCGCGAAGAUUGCUUCCAAACUUACCACCAAAGGCCAUAUCAUGGAGAAUGUGGUUGGAAGCCUAAGAAAGGGGGUAAGAACUCAUAGACAAUUAGCAAACUAUUGUGAACAUCACGCGUUUGUCUCUUGUGUUGAACCCCAAAAGGUCUAUGAGGCGCUCGAAGACUCGGAUUGGCUCAAUGCCAUGCAUGAAGAACUCAACAACUUCGAGUACAACAAGGUGUGGAGGUUGGUGCCAAGGCCUUCGGGGAACCAUAACGUCAUUGGAACCAAGUGGAUUUUCAAGAACAAGCAAGAUACUCAUGGGAACAUCAUUCGCAACAAGGCAAGAUUGGUAGCACAAGGCUACUCCCAAGUCGAGGGUAUCGACUACGAUGAAACCUUUGCUCCCGUUGCUCGCCUUGAAUCCAUUCAUUUGUUGAUUGCUUAUGCUUCCCAUCACAACUUUAAGUUACAACAAAUGGAUGUGAAAAGUGCUUUUCUUAAUGGUCCUAUUAAUGAGUUGGUUUAUGUCAAGCAACCCCCCGGGUUCGAGGAUCCUUACUUCCCGGAUCAUGUGUAUCAACUCGAUAUGGCACUCUAUGGCCUUAAACAAGCCCCACGUGCGUGGUAUGACCACCUUAUCGAGUUGUUACAAGAUCGUGGAUUUGAAGUUGGGCAAAUCGAUCCCACUCCUUUUACUAAGAAGGUCAAAGGGGAGUUGUUUGUGUGCCAACUAUAUGUUGAUGACAUUAUCUUUGGUUCCCCUAACAAUGCUUUCAAUGAAGAUUUUGCCGCUCUCAUGACCUCUAAGUUCAAGAUGUCUUCGAUGGGAGAGUUGAAGUUCUUCCUUGGUUUUGAUAUCAAACAAAGAAGAGAAGGUACCUUCAUCAACCAAGCCAAAUACACUCAAGACAUGCUUAAUAGAUUCAAGCUAAGUGAUGUCAAGCCGGCCUCUACUCCGAUGCCCACCAAGUGCCAACUUGACAUUGAUCCCAAUGGUAAAGAGGUGGAUCAAAAGGUAUAUCGCUCUAUGAUUGGUUCCUUGCUUUACCUUUGUGCAUCUAGACCGGAUAUCAUGUUGAGUGUGGGAAUGUGUGCACGGUUCCAAGCCGCACCAAAGGAAAGCCACUUUGUGGCGGUCAAGUGAAUCUUUCGAUAUUUGGCUCAUACCCCAAACUUUGGCCUAUGGUACCCAAGAGGAGCUAACUUCAAACUUGAAGGAUUUACGGAUUCUGAUUGGGCGGGAGACAAGGUGGAUAGGAAGUCCACUUCCGGAGGGUGCCAAUUUCUUGGUUGCUCUUUGGUGAGUUGGUCUUCCCAGAAGCAAAGUUGUGUGUCUCUCUCGUCCACCGAAGCGGAAUAUGUGGCGGCCGGUAGUUGUUGUGCACAACUUUUAUGGAUGAGGCAAACUUUAAAGGAGUACAGUGUCAUUUGUGACAAAGUGCCUCUUUGGUGUGAUAAUGAAAGUGCCAUCAAAAUUUCUCUCAACCCGGUGGAACACUUCAAGACGAAGCAUAUUGAGAUUCGGUAUCACUUCAUCCGGGAUCACAUUAGGCGAGGGGAGAUCGAGCUCAAGUAUGUCAACACUCAUGAUAACCUUGCAGAUAUUUUCACAAAGCCCUUGGAUGAAGCAAGAUUUCGCGAGUUAAGGCAUGAGCUAAAUAUCAUUGAUUCGAGCAAUGUGACUUGAACCCUUGCACCCCCACCACACUCAACUUGUUGUCUAGUUUAGGUGCAGGCAUGGACAUAGGGGGAGUGUUGUUCUCUCAAUGAACUCUCCCUCCCCCCAUUAUGCAUAAAACGAUUAACUCUUUCACAUUAGCCAUUUUUGAUGGUACUUGUGCUUCAGAUACGAGUUUUGGUCAUGGGCCCAAGGAUAAUUCUUCGCGGUGCCAUACCAACUAACUCAAACAUAGGUGGCUCCGGCCACCGCCCUCUCCUUUUGAGAGGUUGUGUUGCGUGGUUGCUUCUUGUUGUCUUUCUGCCUUUGGGUUGUGCGUGUUCUUGUGGUGUCCUUUGUGCUAAAAGUUUCCUUGCAAAGACCUUCUUCUUUUGUUUGAAACCUGCUUUUUCUUGAGCUCACAUUACUACCGUAGCCAGCUACGGUACUACCGUGUGAGGGGAGCACGGUACUACCGCCCCCACGCGGCAGUAUUUUUUUUACUGCUGCCUGGGAGAGCGGUACUACCACUUCAGUGCGGUACUUCCGCCCGAGCGGUACUACCGCGAUGACAUGCGGUACUACCGGGACGUCACAGACGCGUGGGGAUAAGGACGGGUAGGGGGAGUUCUAACUCCCCGAUACCCAUUCGCUAGUUCCCCACCUCGUCUCUCUUUCUCUCCCUCGCUCAAGAACGGGGCCGGCUUCCGUCGCCGGAUCUCCGCCUCCGGCUGCCCUCCCGUGAUUCCGUCCGGUGGAAUCAUUCCCCACCACAUGCUCUUGCUAUGGACCAAGGUCUUUCCCCAACCCCUUCUCGUUUUUGUUGUGUUCGUUGUCUCUAGGUUUUUGGGGAAGACUUGUGUGUUCUAGAGAUUCUUAGGCUAAAUCUAUGCAAGAGUAGGAUGAAGGAGCGUAGUAUUGCGUAGGAUUUAUACUUGUGUUUUGUCCUGUGCUAGAUAUGAUCAUCGUAGCACCGCCGUGGUUUCACGAUUCUUUUCAGAUUCAAACCUUCGUUUGGAUCUGACGCGGUGUGGUACUACCGCCCGUCUGGCGCGGUACUACCGCUUGUCCGGUACUACCGCCCGUCUGGUGCGGUACUACCGCACUCGCUGCGGCACUAAAGUUUUACUACCGCUCCCACCAUGGUACUACCGUGACCUCGCACGGUACUACCGCAACUUGGAGCGGUACAAAAAUUUUAGCACCGCAGGCCUUGGCAGUAGUACCGUGGUUCACCUCUAUCUCAUGGCAACUUUCAAGUAUACUUUUUAUGUGUUUCUUGUGCUUUGUCGUGGUCUUUGCAUUGAUCUUUUUUGCUUGUCAUGGGUGUUUUUGCAUUUGUGUCUCAGGUGGUGGCUCUCGCCGUUCCAAUCCCAGUCGUGACACUGGUUCCAAGCGUCUGCGCAAUCCAGGUGAAGCACCAGAGGACUCCUCUGCCCCCAAGCGCCAUGUCAAGACAUCCGCUAGUAAGCACAAGGAACCCAGCAAGGGCAUGGACGAGAUUCCCCAAUCUGAGUUCGUCCGUCUCAGGAAGCUCAACCCGUAUGUGCAUCCUCGUGCUACUGUCAGAGGCUGUGAACUGUUUUGGAACAAGCAACAGACUCUCACUUAUCUGGAUGUCAUCAAGAACAAGCAGAAUACCUACGUGGAUGUCAAAUGGAUAGAAAUACAUCACCUGAGGAAGGACAAGUUCCAUCAGUACUUUGGAGAAGCUCUGGAUUUGGUGGAGCAGUUUGGUAUUGAACAUGUGAUCUCCUUUCACCUUGACUAUGAACCUGAGCUUGUUUGUCAGUUCUUUGCCUCAGUUUACUUUCACCCUGAUGAGGAGCGGAGGAUGACCUGGAUGACCAAUGGAUGUAAGUUGACUGCUACCUGGAAGGAGUUCAUGGAUUUGCUACAUGUUCCUGAUGACGGGCUCGACACUCCCGUGGGUGUUCGCCUCCAUGCUAAUCCUGAGUCUGCUAACAUGGACAAGCUUCAACCAUUCUAUGUUGAGAAGGCGCUUCCCAAUGGCAAGACAGUGUGGGUGCUCAACUCCUUUCUGGAUAUCAUGUAUCGCAUCUUCCGCAGCUCUUUGUUCCCUCGCAUUGGUGACAAGGACAAGGUUCAUGCCUAUAUGGUGGAUAUGAUGCUCCUAUGCGAGGAGGCUCGUGCGUCUCAGACUCGUCCACUUAAUGUCUCACAAAUCAUGUGGUGUGAGCUUCGGUUUGUAGUGUUCAACCGCAAGGUGCCUAUCUAUGGGCCCUAUCUGUUUCUGCUGAUCUCGAAGACUUGGGAGAAGAUGUUCCCUAGUGAGGAGUUCCUUUCUCCAGACUAGAUUCGUCAUGAUCCCAUCUGUCUCCAUGCCAAGUCCAACUGGGCCAACACUACUACUCGUGCUGAGGCGUCUGCUGCUAGGGCUGCUGUUGAUGAGGAGGAUGUUGGCGCAGAGGAUGGUGCUGAGGACCGUGCUGCCAGGCCUUCCCAUAGUUCCUCUAUGCCCUCGUGGGCCAAGAAGCUGAAGGACAAGAUGAAGACUCUUUUCUGCAUGCAAGCUAAGGGUCAGUACAGGACUCACGUGGCAUCCAAGGAGAGUCGUCGUCGGGACAAGAAGAUCUUGCAGCUCUAUGGUGAGGAUGUGUCUGGCGGUUCUGAGGAUUGCAUCACUCUAGAGGCCGAGUGGAUGGAGAAGCAAGGCUACAGGUGGACUGAUUCUGAGGAGGACGUCGAGGAGACCAUCCCUGCUGCCGAGGAGUCUGACGGAGAGGGUUGGGAUGAGUUCCCUGCUUGAGCCACCCCUUGUGUGUAGGUGUCCUCUCUGCCUUUUUGGCGUCUCGAUGCCAAGGGGGGAGAGAGUGUAGGGAUUUGUGAGUCGUGUGUUUGCUGCUUUCUCGUUUGAACCUCAUUUCAGUUGCUUUGGGUUGCUUUACUUCUUAUGGUGUAAGACAUAUGCACUCUGUCUAUCUUAGCAAGCUCGUGAUAUUUUGUGCUACCUUUAUGCUAUGCUCUGCUUAGAUGUUAGUCAUCAUGCCUUUGUCUCUAAAAUAUAGGGGGAGUGUUGAUCCUAGCUUGUGUGUUAUGCAGUCCAAAGCAUCUAUCUAGAUUGCACACAUCUAGGGGGAGCCCGUCUAUAUUCUAGAGAGGUGGGGUUUGCCUUUGCCCUAUAUUAUCUCUUCUACGUGCAAAUCUCGUAUUGUCAUCAAUCCACCAAAAAGGGGGAGAUUGUAAGGGCAUAUUUAUCCCUUAGGUGUUUUGGUGAUUGAUGACAAUGCUUUUUCGGACUAAUCGUGUGCCUUGAGUUUCUCAGAUGCUUCAUCACUAGGCACGAGACAAUUCGGUGCCCCUCGAAGACUAUUGAAGACGGUGUUGUUCUAUGUUUCUCUUUGGUGGAUUUGAGUCAUAGGAGAGCCGUACUAUUAAGAGGGGGUCCGCGUCGGAAAGGUUCGGGUGGAAUCAACACGUACACAUGUCCUUCCUUUCCUUUGCACUUUGGAGCGUCUCUCCGUUAUCCUAGUAGUGCUUAAUCUGACGGCUACUGCUGUACUUGCGGUAGUACUGCUCUAUGGAGCGGUAGUACCGCAAGCACCUGCGGUAGUACCGCUGGGGGUCACGGUAGUACCGCUCCUCUGGAGCCUUAGUACCAUGGCUCCCAGGCCUAGUGCUGCUCCGGUACGGUAGUAGGGACGGAUGUAAUUUUUUACAUCCGCGCCCACACGGUAGUACCGCACGACCUGCGCGGUAGUACCGCGGGAGGCCAUGGUAGUACCGCUCCCCUGGAGUCAUAGUAUCGUGGCCCUCAUACCUAGUACCGCUGCGUCACGGUAGUAGGAGCGGAUGUAAUUUUUUACGUCCGCGCCUCAACGGUAGUACAGCGCCUCGUGCGCGGUAGUAACGUGUCGGAUUUUUUGCACUGUUUCAUUUUUAGCAGUAGUAGGCACGGAUGUAUUUUAUUUCAUCCGCGCUCUUCGUAGGCUUUGACUUUCCUGCCUUGCGGUAGUUGUAAGUGCAUCUAGUGCCCCUUAGUGAUUUUGGUGUAUUGAAGACUUAUAGGUUAAGGGACUAAUGCGUUUGUGAGUGUACACAGGUCUAUAAGUCUAUGAGGAGUUUGAUAUUUACAGAGAAAGUCGACCCCUAAAAAUGAAGUUCUUCAACUGAAGACUUUGAUAUUCUGAAGACUUUCUGAAGACUUUGAAAGUGAAGAAAUUGGUGUGACCUUGAAGACUUGGUAUUCAUUUGUGGAACAUGAAGCGUGGAGACUUUUGUUUUCGUAGUUUCAUUUUCUCUUUCUUGAGUAAUAGGAAACACCGUACUGUUAAAGGGGGUCGAGGAAAUACUAAGGAAAAAUUUCCAUGUGAUGCUCAACUCAAAAUCCUACACCUACCAAUCCCUUUGAGUGAAGCCUUUGGGAAUCUCAUGCAGUUCAGUCACUUUCUUCAGUGACAGAGACGAAGUUCUUCUGGUCGCUGAUGAAUUUGUUCUGACUGAGGAGUUAGGAAUUCGCCAGUGCGAAUUACCUACAUAGUGAGGAACAUGAUAGCCCUGAGGAAUUUGAGAGUCAAAUUUCCGACCGUUGCUGUGCUGCGCGCCAGCUGUCCCAAAAUAUCUUAUCCACCUAACGGUCAUAUCAUUGAGGGGCAUUUAUGUCUUAUCAUGUCGGGCUGCUCCCUAGGCUAUAAAUAGCCGCCCCCUACAACCACUAGCUGGUUGGAUGCUCCGAGAGAACUUGACACUUGUCAUUUGAGAGCAACCCAUCCUCCGAGGACUUUGAGCGAAAAUCAUCAAGUGAGGAAAAACCCCAAACCCAAACACCUACAAACCCAAGUGAUUGAGCAUCACUGAAGAAAUUGAUCCUGCGUGGAUCCAACGCUUGUUACCUUUGAAGACUGUGCUUCUUCCAGACGGUUAGGCAUCAAGGUCUAGAGCAUCCAAGAGGAAUUGUGGAUCGCCGAGUGACCAAGUCUGUGAAGGUUUGGAAGUUGCCUGAAGACUUACCACGAGUGAUUGGACGGGAUCUGUGUGAUCUUAGUUCAAGGAGAAUACAGUGAGGACUGGGUGUCCUGAGCUGCGUGCUCAGCGACUGGGUGUCCGGGACUGUGUGUCCUCGAGUUUAAAUACUCAGCCGCUCCAACCAGACGUACAACUGAGACAGUAGUUGGAACUGGUCUACCAAAUCAUUGUCUUCACCAACCUACUGGUUCUAUUUCCUCAAUCCUUUCAUUUCCUCUUUAUUGUGUUGAGUGCUUGUUCAUAUCUGUGUUUGAAGACUUUGACUGAAGACUUUCUCAAUUUCCUCAGUUCAAUUUUUUCAGUCUGUUUGUCUUCAUCUUGUGUUAUCCUGUGAUUACACUUUCUGUACUCUGUGCUAUUUUUCAUUUCAUCAUGAUGACAAUGCUUGUAUUCUGUUAUGCUUACGUCUGAGUACUUAUUCCGUUGCUAAUAGUUCUUCGCUAAGGAAUUUCCUCACCGGCAAAUUCCUCAGUGAAGAAUUCAUAAAUAUCGCCUAUUCACCCUCCUCUAGUCGACAUAACGCACUUUCAAUUGGUAUCAGAGCAAGGUACUCCCUUGUUCUGUGUGAUUUUGGUUUAACCGCCUAGAGUUUUAGUUAUGUCGACCGCAGGUAUGAUCAAGGUCUCGGCUGGAGGUCCUACCUUUGAUGGGACGGACUACCCCUACUGGAAAAACAAGAUGUGAAUGCAUCUCGAGGCAAUUGACAACGAUCUCUGGUAUGUUGUGGAAAAUGGUGUUCCCUCAGUUUCACCCUCAUUGAACGCUACCGAUGUGAAGAGAUUCAAGCAACUCGAUUCUCAAGCGAAGAAUAUCAUAUGUUGCCAUCUGAGUAAAGGACAGUAUGGAAGAGUGGGUGCUUUGGAAACUGCUAAGCUUAUCUGGGAUAGGCUGUGCAAAGUGAAUGAAGGAGUCUCAACUCAGCGUGACUCUCGAGUUGAUGUUCUUCUGAAUCUCUUCAACCGCUUCAAAAGACUCGACAAUGAAAAUGUCCAACAAACCUCUGAUCGCCUCACUGACAUCUCAAAUGAGCUUCAAGCCCUCGGUGCCACUGACAUCACUGACCAUGAGGUGGUGAAGAAACUGUUGAGAUCGCUUGAUUCCUCAUUUGAUACUCUGGGUCUGAUGAUACAAGAAUGGGCUGACUACAAGUCUCUUGAUCCUGCCGAUAUCCUCGAAAGGCUAAAUACUCACGAGUUCCAGCUUGCUGAAAAGAGAGAUCUCUAUGGUUCGAGCUAUGGCAAACCACGUGCCCUGAAGGCCAAGGUUGUGUCUGAGUCUGAACGUGAGGACUCUGGUAGUAGCCUUGGUGAUCCUGAAGAAUUGAGUCAGGAGCUAGCACUGCUCGUGAAGAAAUUCCAGAAGUUCUCAAGACGUGGUCGCUUUGGAAAAUCCUCAAGAAGCAGUGAUUCCUCAUCAAGUGACUAUAAGAGAAGACUGUGCCACAAAUGCAAGAAACCUGGUCAUUAUAUUCAAGAUUCUCCUCAGUGGUAAAAGGAAUUGAAGAAGAAUAAAUACAAGGAUUACAGUUCUGAUGAUGCGAAGAAGAAGAAGAAAUCAUCAAAAUCUUCGUCAUCAAAAUCCUCGAAGUCUUCAUCUCACAAGAAGAGCAGCUCUAAGAAGGCUUGGGCAUUCAUUGGCAAGGAAAUGGACUCUGAAGCUGAAUCUGAGGAAAAUGAGGAAGAGGAGGCGUCUGAAGAAUCCGAAUCUGGUGUGGCGAGUCUGGCCUUUGCUACUGCUUUCAUUAGCAAGUCCAUCUUCAACACUGAAGAAACUGACUCCACCGACAAGCCUGAUGAAGAUAAUGAUGACUACGCUCCCACCUAUUGCUUCAUGGCAAAAGGUGCAAAGGUACUCAAGUACACCUCCUCUGAAUCUAGUGAAAAUGAAUCUGAUGAGAAUCUCAAGCCCAGCUACUCUAAACUUGCUAAGAUUGCUGUAAAACAACAAAGGGCUUUUGAAAAGGUUCAAAACAUGCUAGACAAAAGUGAUGAUAUGUUGGGUGAAGAAAUGGAUCGCACUAAAGCCCUGACUGAAAAUCUUCAGAGACUUCAGUCUAGGUUUGAUAACCUUCAAAGUCAUCAUAACACUCUCUUAUCUGAUCAUGAGAAACUUUCUUAUGAAUUUCUUCAAAGAAAGCAAGAUCUUGAGAAGCUAAGAGUGAGUUAUGAAGAUCUUCAGAAGGAGCGCGAUUCAUUACUUGCUCAACAAAUCAGCACUUCUCAGGAAGAAUUUGUUCCUCCAUGCUUAAAAUGCAUUGAACGUGAAUCUGCUAAUUCUUCACCUGAAUGUUCAAAUGCUUCAACUGUUACAAUUUCUUCACCUGGCUCUGCUAUCACUAAUUCCUCAUCUGAGGACAUUGCUAGUAUCACUGACGAUGCAGGGCUGAAGGAAUUGUACACGACAGGCAUGUACAAAAGCCUCAAAGGGCAUCAGAUUCUUUGUGAUGUGCUCAAAAAGCAGAUCCUCAAUAGAAACCCUAGGAAAGAGGGUAUUGCCUUUGAGAGGAAACUUAAUGCUGAUGGAACAUAUUGGAAGCCUGAGCAGUAUCCCAAAACCUCAUGGGUUGCUGCAAAGGGACCUCCAGUUGAUCCAUCCAUGUUAUCUGGCUUUACAUGUGAAUCUCCUCAUUCUUCUGAUGAGUCAUUUGACUCCAACUAUAAACUGUUCAAAAAUCAGAAUGGUGAAGUAUUUGCUAGAUAUGUUGGGACUAACUGCAGGAACGGUUCCCCUAUGAAGAAAAUCUGGGUUCCCAAAAGUUAUGUUGAAAGUCUUCAGGUGAAUGUCCUCAUGACACCACCUGUGAAGAAUAGGAACCCCAGAACAAACUCUUCAUAUGGACCAAAUUCUUCAUAUGGAUCCAAGUCCUCAUACGGACAAAAUUCCUCACGUAGAUCAAAUUCCUCAACUGGAUCAAAGUCCUCAUAUGAUCAUCAUCAUGCUAACAACUCUGUUUCGCAGGGUAGAGCUAAGGGCUAUGAAUAUGCACAUUAUUCUUCAAAUCAUUAUGCUCAUAAGUCCUCGAAGAAUUUCUCUGCUUAUUCAUAUGCUUACCCUAACCCCUCUUAUGUGAAACGAAAUGGUUUGGCUUCUAUGCCACCAUUCUCGUAUGGUGCUCGCAGAGUGAUGAACUCUUUGCCACCGCUUCAGAUGUGGGUGGUGAAGAAAAAGAACUAAUCUCUUCUGCAGGGUCAGGUCUCCAGACGUGCCUUAACGUCUGAAGAAUUUGCUGGUGACCUGACAAAAUUGCCUGAAAGGACGCAGGCUAACCAUGAUGAAAUGAACUUUCAUUUCACACAUCCUACUACUGCUAUAUCUGUUUACCGCUUGAUGAAAUUCAUUUGAUGAACUUGAUAUCAUAUUCUUCACUGAUGAAGCAUAUGAGACUGUAAGUUACACUAAUUCAUCUGCAGGAUGACCAACCCAAAACCACUGAAUGGGUCCUCGAUAGUGGAUGUACAAAUCACAUGACUGGUGACAAGAAUCUUUUGAUGGAUGCUCCUUUAUCACCGUCACAUCUGAAGCAUAUCAUCUUUGCUGACAAAGGCAAAAUUCAGGUAUUGGGUCUUGGUAAGGUUGCGAUCUCUAAGGAUAAACACAUGGACAAAGUCAUGCUUGUUGAGUCCUUAGGAUACAACCUCAUGUCAGUCUCAAUGCUUUGUGAUCUUGAUAUGGUUGUUGUAUUUGGCAAGUAUCGCUGUGUUGUGAUUAUGGAACCUGACAAUUCCAAAGUCUUCGAAGGCUUUAGGAGAGGAGAUUUGUAUAUUGUUGAUUUCUCUACAGGACCACAACCAGCCGUGUGUCUACUUGCAAAAGCGUCAGAAGGCUGGCUAUGGCAUCAACGACUUGGUCACGCAGGCAUGAGGAAUUUGCACACGCUUGCGAAGAAGAAGCAUGUCAUUGGCAUUGAGAAUGUCAAAUUCCUCAAGGAUCACUUAUGCGGAGCCUGUGAAGCUGGAAAAAUGACCAAGGCCAGGCAUCCAGCAAAGACUAUCAUGACCACUACUCGUCCAUUCGAAUUGCUUCACAUGGACCUCUUCGGACCUAAUCAUUACUCAGCAUUCUCUAAUGCUGCAUCUCUAUAUGGUUUUGUCAUUGUUGAUGAUUACUCUCGAUAUACAUGGGUACACAUUGUUACUUACAAACAUGAAGUGCAGGAAGUCUUCAAACGAUUCUCCUCGAGGGCUUCAACCAACUUUGGUGUGAAGAUCAAACACAUCAGAAGUGACAAUGGAACUGAGUUCAAGAAUUCCGAUCUUGAUGACUAUCUUGAUGAACUUGGUAUUACUCAUGAGUUAUCUGCUCCUUAUACUCCUCAGCAAAAUGGCGUCGUGGAGCGUAAGAACAGAACUCUUGUUGAGAUGGCUCGCACUAUGCUUGAUGAAUACAAAACGCCUCAUCAUUUUUGGAUUGAUGCAAUUGAUACUGCGUGCCACAUCAUCAACAGAGUAUAUCUUCACAAAUUCUUCAAGAAGACGGCCUAUGAACUCCUCACUGACAAGAAACCCAAUGUGAGUUAUUUCAAAGUCUUCGGUGCAAAAUGUUGGAUUAGAGAUCGUCACCACAAUUCUAAAUUUGCACCGAAAGCACAUGAAGGUUUUACGAUUGGUUACGGAAAGGACUCGCACACCUACAGAGUCUUCAACAUCGCUCAUCACAAGAUUGUUGAAACUGUAGAUGUGCGGUUCGAUGAAACUAAUGGCUCGCAAAGAGAGCACCUACUGUCGUGGUUCUAAACCUGACAGUAGAGUGGGGGGUAGGUAUGGAGAGGCAAGGUCCUAGCUAUGGAGAGGUUGUAAACACAAGGGAUGUACGAGUUCAGGCCCUUCUCGGAAGAAGUAAUAGCCCUAUGUCUCGGAGCCCGGAGGCGGUCGAGUGGAUUAUGAGUAUAUGAGUUACAAGGUGCCGAACCCCUCUACCUGUGGAGGGGGGUGGCUUAUAUAGAGUGCGCCAGGACCUCAGCCAGCCCACGUAGGAGAGGGUUUAAGGUGAGUUAAGUCUGGGGCGUUACUGGAAAUGCCUCACAUAAAGUGUCUUUACUAUCAUAAAGCCUACUUAAUUACAGGCCGUUGCAGUGCAGAGUGCCUCUUGACCUCCUGGUGGUCGAGUGAGUCUUCGUGGUCGAGUCCUUCAAUGCAGUCGAGUGAGUCCUUCGUUGGUCGACUGGAAGGAGACCUCUUCUAAGGGUGUCCUUGGGUAAGGUACUUAGAUCAGGUCCAUGACCCUACCCUAGGUACAUGACCCCAUCAUUAGCCCCGGAAUGGAUUGAGGCUUCGAGUGAGGAAGGAGUUGAUGUCAUUUCCGAUUAACCUUUGCGCUCUGGUCGUGCGUUGUUCUGGACCAAAGAAUCUCUUCGUCGACAGUGAGCAACUUGUCUUCAGUCGACUCGAUCCAUUCUCUUCUUGCAUCGAGUGAUCUUUCGGGCUUCGACGAUCUCCGAGCGACGGAUCGCGGGAAACCCCGUGUCUGACAGACUGAUCUGCUGUUCGCGGAUUCCGCGGGAUGCGAAAUUUGGGGACGCGCGCGAAGCGGAGCGGACCGCGGCGUUCGGAUGGGACGGGACAUAGACGCCUCGAUCUCCGCGCCGCUUUCUUCGCCACGUAUCCCGUCUGCAUAACUGUUCCUGGAUAUGAUUAGAUCGACCGGGCCCACCUGUCAUCCACUCGGAAGGGACCUUAUAAAUGCGCCCGGCGAGGAUUUCUGUACUGUGCCUCAGCAUUCUCUCUCUUUCUCUGCUCCCUUCAUCUUCGUCCAGCGCGCUCGCUCUCGCCCCCGCACAACUUCCCCACGCGCAUCUCGCCGGCAACCAUGGCCAAGGAGAAGACGGCCGCGCUGGAACGUGCGAAGAAGGCGUCGGCGUCGGAGAAGGCGAAGGGGAGAUCUACCAGCCGCGGCGGGUCUUCAUCCAGAUCCCGCCUGCCGAAGGGCUGGGUCUAAGGAGACUGGAUCCAGUCGACCAUCACAGAAAAAGACCUCCUCGACAUGGCCAACGAGGGCUUGAUCCCUCAUGGAGCUGCGAGGCUUCCGGGGAAGGAGUGGCAGCCCCAGCCAGAAGAGGGUGAGUGUGUGCUCUUGGCCACCCAUGUUGAUCGUGGAUUUUCUUUGCCGCCGAGUAUUUUCUUCCGUGGCUUCUUGAACUUCUUUGGAGCGCAGCUCCACCACUUUACCCCAAAUUCUAUCGCCUAUCUUGCCGCAUUUGUGUCCAUGUGUGAGGGUUUCUUGGGCUGUCGACCGCACUGGGGUUUGUUCAAGCAUAUAUUCACGUGUCGCUCUCAGACCGUGAAGAAGGCGAGCCCAGGCGAUGAAAGAACCCGAGUCGUCCAAAUGUGUGGGGGUCUGGGGAUCCAGGUGAGGAAUAAGAGCACCUUCCCACCCAUGACCUUUCCCGAGUCAGUCAGAGGCUGGCAGUCGACCUGGUUCUACUGCCAGGACCAGUCGACGCCGGGGCAGUCGAGUGGACUCCCUCAGUUUACCAUGGACCGAGUGAACAAGCCCUCCUCUCUGAAGUUGAUUCCGGAGGAGAAAGCUGACGUGAAGAUGUUGAUGGAGCGCGUGGUGCAGUUGGUUCGGGAGGGAGUGACGGGCAUGGACCUUCUGGAGGUCUUCCUUAGGCGUCGCAUCCAGCCCCUUCAGUUCCGGAGCCACUGCAUGUGGUUGUACUGUGGGACUGAAGACGAGACUCGAGUCCAUCCAGAAGCAGUUGACGAUGUCACUCUGGAAAGAUGGAUGGUAGCCGUUACCGGAAACAAGGAUAACCCACGCGGAGCCAGAAGGAUUCCUCCACUCGACCACAACAGCGAUCCAAACAAGGUACGUUUGCUCUGCUCUCCACUGUGUUCUUGUCGCAUUCAUUUCUGUUUAUCCUGCCGACUGGUCGACUGAUCCUUGUCUUGAUAUCUGCUAGGCUCUCACCGAGCUGUACUCGAUGUCCAAUGGGGCACAAGCUCCGACUGAGGAGGGUGAGGCGAGUGGGGGCGAGAGCCAGGAAGAGGAGGAAUGGGACUCGGACGUUGCAGAGGAUGAUGACGACGAUGAUGAUGAUGACGGUGAUGAAGAUGACGUUGAGGACGAGGAAGAAGAGGAGGAGGAGGUCGUACCACCGCGCUCAGAAAGGCGGUCGAAGCUUGUCCACGACCCUUCGACUGAACGUGGCAAGGGGGUUGCGACCGUUGUUCAGUCGACCAAGCGCCCUCAGACCACCUCUCCGGUGCCGACUGAAAAGGCGCCGAAGCAGCCCAGGGCGGCCUCGUCGAAGCCGAUCAAGCUCCUGCCGAAGAUGAAGGUGUCCAUCCCCACCAUAUCAGGGUAAUCGUGCUGCUUAAGUCUUCUUAUUUUGUGUGAGCUUUGUCUCUGGUCGACGCUGAAGUUAGUCGACUGAUCCUUUGGAGUUGCAGUGCUGCUACUUCUGAAACCUCAGCCCGGGCUGAUGACCAUGAGAUGGAGGACGCAGCAACUUCGAAACCAGGUACUGUAUUCUUAACGCCGUUCUUAGUCGACUGACUCGCGAUCUCUGAUCCUGAUUCUUCUCCAUAGCUCCACCCAAUACUGUUAUCAAUCUCCCUGAUGAUGAUGAGGAUGAAGAACCACUAAAGCGCAGGAGGAGUAGGAAAGCGUCCGCCAGUAAGGUGCCCCAGGAUGUGACGGCGCCUGAGAUUUUGAUUGCGGAGGAAGAGAACACCACUCGACACACGGUGUCCUUCGCAGAUCCAUUGACGAGUGCUCAGCAGCCCUCCCUCUUCACGACGCACCACGUCCCAGAGGACCAAGCUGGCGCGGCGAAGGAAGCGAUACGCCAGGCGGGAAUCAUGAUGGAGCAGUUAAAGACCAUCCGGGAUGCGAGCCAGGCAGCUUAUGAUGCCAGUUCUGCCCUUCAAAGCAAUGUUCAGGUCAGUCGACCACUGUUUGUUCUGUUGGAUAUGCUACCAAAAACUUUUCCUUUCCGGAAUUUAUAGUAGUCACCCACUGGGUGUGUCGAUUAAACUCCGUGUUAGCGGGGGCACGCUGAGUGCACCCGCUGGGUGUAGUCCCCAAGGCUAAGGUCGACUGCUGGCAGUCGGCCUUAGGCUUUAUGAUGUCAGUCUUUCUGUCAGUCGACUAUGUCGACUGGAUUUCACAAACCGGUGGGGGCACGCUGAGUGCACCCACUGGGUGUAGUCCCCGAGACUGUGGUCGACUGCUUGCAGUUGAUUACAGUCUUAAAGAAUACAUCUCUCUUUUUUUUUGAGGUCGACUUGUCGACUUUGUCUUCAACAGAAUUAGUGGGGGCACGCUGAGUGCACCCACUGGGUGUAGUCCCCGAGACUACGGUCGAAUGCUUGUAUUCGGCUGUAGUCUUAGAAACGUGCGUUUUUUCCUUUUUCACUCGGAAGUGAAUUAUAUUUGACAUUUAGUUGAUUGGUUCUUCGCAGAACUCUUGUGAUCUUGUGGCUCGCUACUCUGAGCUGGAAAACAAGCACACUCAACUCGAGCUGAGCUUGAAGCUGGUUCAGGAGAAGCUGACGAAGGCAAAGGAGGAGACCGAAGGUAUGUUUGGUGAGAUCCUGACGACUGUUUUUCCCCUUGCUUCUUUCAAAAUCUGAUCUUGCUAUAACUUGCAGGUAAGGUAAGGGAGGCCCAACAGAAGAAAGACCUUGAACUAGCUGAGAAGAUCAAGCUUGCUGACGAGAAGUUAGCUUCAGUCACCAAGCUUGAACAAGACAAUACCAAUCUGAAAGCUGCUCUUGGGAUCGCCAACAAGGAGGUCAGUCGACUAAAAACUGAUAAAGCUGCCCUGACCGACCAAGUCAGUAAAUUGACUGGGAAGAAAAAUGAUCUGGAGGCCUUCCUGAGUGGUCUUGCCAAGAAGCUGUUUCUUAUGCUUGAAGGUAAACAUGUAUGCUCGGCAAACAUUUCCAAUUGUGGUUUUUCCAUUCAACCAUCCCCUUGACUUAGUGAUCAUCCUUGCAGAAUUUUGUCAAAACUUUGAAGAAGAAACUAGCCGGCUGGAGCCAAACCUCGACCCCGUCAAUUCUCCGGUGAACGACGAAGUUGCCAUGGAUGUUUUCCAACUGGAGUCUCGUGUUGCAGCUGUCGUGGACUAUCUCGCAAGGCUGAAGGCCGCCACAUCUCGCAUCGACUCAACGCUCUGGCCUGAGGAGACACUUCAGAAUGACCUUGAGUCGCUGAUGGCCCGCUUGAACUCGAUCCCUAGUCGAGUGCAGGAAUGGAAGAAGUCCUCGGCUCGGUGUGGUGCAGAUGUUGCUCUGUGUCUGGCCCGAGUCCACUGUAAAGAUGCGCGAGAAGAGAAGCUGGCGGCCCUUCGGGUGGCCAACACCAAGAAACACGACUUCAGGUCCUUUAUGGAAACUUUCCUUGCAGCUGCCACUCGGAUCGCCGACGGAAUUGACCUUGAUGAAUUCGUUGCACCUUCCAGCCCUCCACAGGAGGGGUAAAAAACUUCUUCUGGCUCGACGCUUUAAAUUUGCCUCGGUAUGCCGAGUGGAAUUGUAACCGAUAAACCUUAACAGGCUUAACGCCUGAGCACUCUCGGUUCCUUUAGAUAUCGAUUCAAACUUGAAUUUGGUGCUUGAAUACGAUUGCCUUUGGCUCGAAAUGUCUUUUGCAGGUUCAAAGCAAGGCGCCUUUACUGCAAUCGACUUAUUCUUUAGUCCACUUAGGCGAGCACUGGGCUGUGGCUAAGCCUCCGAGUGGAAGCCCGGCUUACCACUCGGUAGGAUUUCUAUAACUUAGGCGAGCACUGGGCUGCAGCUAAGCCCCCGAGUGAGAGGUUUACUCUUCACUCGGUAGGAUUUUUGUAACUUAGGCGAGCACAGGGCUGCAGCUAAGCCUCCGAGUGAAAGUCUGGCUUACCACUCGGUAGGAUUUCUAUAACUUAGGCGAGCACUGGGCUGCAGCUAAACCCCCGAGUGAGAGGUUUACUCUUCACUCGGUAGGAUUUUUAUAACUUAGGCGAGCACAGGGCUGCAGCUAAGCCUCCGAGUGAAAGUCUGGCUUACCACUCGGUAGGAUUUUGAUAACUUAGGCGAGUGCUUGGACUGCAGCUAAGCCCCCGAGUGAGAGGGUUGCUCUUCACUCGGUAGGAUUUUUAUAACUUAGGCGAGUGCUUGGACUACAGCUAAGCCUCCGAGUGUGAGGGUUGCUCUUCACUCGGUAGGAUUUUUGUAACUUAGGCGAGUGCGUGGACUGCAGCUAAGCCUCCGAGUGAGAGGGUUGCUCUCCACUCGGUAGGAUUUUGACAAACUUAGGCGAGUCCUUGGACUGCAGCUAAGCCUCCGAGUGGAAGUCUGGCUUACCACUCGGUAGGAUUUUGAUAACUUAGGCGAAACGGAUCCGCAGCUAAGCCUCCGAGUGGGAGUCUGGCUCACCACUCGGUAGGAUUUUUACAAACUUAGGCGAAACAGAUUCGCAGCUAAGUCACCCACUGAGGGGGAAUUUUAGUGGACAAAAAUAAAAAGUGACAGAAAUUAUGGAGGAACUAUGACACUAUUAUUUUGAGGUCCAUGAACUACAGAAGUACUUUAUUGCAACUCAUCCGAGUGUUAAAACUUAAGUAUAAAAUGGGCGGAGUAGUUCCGCGUUCCAAGCUCGGGGCUCAUCGAUAUUAUGCUCGACGUUGUAAAGACGGUACGCCCCGUUGUGGAGAACCUUGGUGACGAUGAAGGGACCUUCCCAAGAAGGAGCAAGCUUGUGUGGCUUGUGCUGAUCCACUCGGAGAACUAAAUCUCCUUCCUGGAAGGCUCGACCUCUCACAUUUCUGGCGUGGAAACGACGCAAAUCUUGUUGGUAGAUGGUCGAGCGGAUCAGAGCCAUCUCCCUUUCUUCCUCUAAAAGGUCGACUGCGUCCUGCCGCGCUUGUUCAGCCUCUGCUUCAUUGUAGAUUUCAACUCAAGGAGCAUUGUGGAGAAGAUCACUCGGCAAGACUGCUUCAGCUCCGUAGACCAAGAAGAAUGGAGUUCUUCCGGUCGACCGAUUAGGUGUGGUCCGCAGCCCCCAAAGCACUGAGGGAAGUUCGUCGACCCAAGCUCUAGCCGCGUGUUUGAGAUCACGCAUCAGUCGGGGCUUCAAUCCCUUAAGAAUCAGUCCAUUAGCUCGCUCUGCUUGUCCAUUCGACUGCGGAUGGGCGACUGAAGCGUAGUCGACCCGUGUGCCUUGGGAGUUGCAGAAAUCUCUGAAUUCCUCCGAGUCGAAGUUCGAUCCAUUAUCCGUAAUGAUGCUGUGCGGGACUCCAUAUCUGAAUAUUAGUUCCCUGAUGAAGCUAACAGCAGUACCGGUGUCAAGGUUCUUGAUUGGUUUGGCCUCGAUCCACUUGGUGAACUUGUCGACUGCCACCAGUACAUGCGUGAAGCCACUUCAUCCUGUUCUUAAAGGACCAACCAUGUCCAGUCCCCAUACUGCGAAAGGCCAGACGAGUGGGAUGGUCUUCAGAGCCGACGCAGGCUUGUGCGACAUAUUCGAGUAGAACUGACAUCCCUCGCACUUAUCCACUAUCUCUUUUGCCAUCUCAUUCGCCUUUGGCCAGUAAAAUCCGGCUCGGUAUGCUUUGGCCACGAUGGUCCGAGAGGACGCAUGAUGACCACAGGUUCCCGAGUGGAUAUCAUUGAGGAUGAGUCGACCUUCUUCUGGUGUUAUGCACUUCUGACCGACUCCAGUCGCGCUUUCUCUGUAUAAUUGUCCUUUGAUUACGGUAAAGGCCUUAGAUCGUCGGACGAUCUGUCGAGCCUCUUCCUCAUCCUCCGGAAGCUCUUUUCUCAGGAUAUACGCGACAUAUGGAACUGUCCAGUCGGGAAUGACCACCAAGACCUCCAUGAUCAAGUCGACCACCACUGGGACUUCAACUUCAGUCGGAUCUGUGGCACUCUUGGGCUGUGGAGUUUCUUCGGUGAAAGGAUCUUCUUUGACCGACGGAGUGUGUAUAUGCUCCAAGAACACACCACUCGGAACGGCUUCUCUCUUGGAACCUAUCUUUGCUAGAUCAUCAGCUGCUUGAUUUUUCAGUCGGGGUAUAUGAUGGAGCUCCAACCCCUCGAACUUCUUUUCCAGCUUCCUCACUGCACUGCAGUAUCCAGUCAUGGCUGGGCUUCUCACGUCCCACUCUUUCAUCACCUGGUUGACCACUAAAUUCGAGUCGCCAUAGACCAUCAGGCGACGGACGCCGAGUGAAAUGGCCAUGCGCAACCCAUAUAAGAGGGCCUCAUAUUCUGCCUCAUUGUUGGAGGAAUCAAAGUGAAUCUGGAGCACAUAUCUGAGCUUAUCUCCUCUGGGGGAAACCAGGACAACCCCAGCACCGGAACCAUUCAACAUCUUAGAGCCAUCAAAGAACAUGGUCCAAUGCUCCGAGUGAACUUCAGUCGGCUGCUGUUGUUCAAUCCACUCGGCGAGGAAAUCUGCUAUUGCCUGGGACUUAAUGGCUUUCUUUGCCUCAAACUUGAUAUCAAGGGGAAGAAGUUCAAUCGCCCAUUUGGCCACUCGACCAGUUGCAUCUCUGUUGUGCAAAAUCUCUAAUAGUGGAGCGUCGCUGACGACUGUGAUGGAAUGAUCAGAAAAAUAAUGAGCAACCUUCUUUGUGGUCAUGUAUAUUCCAUACACAAGCUUCUGAUAAUGAGGAUAUCUCUGCUUGGAUGGAGUCAAGACUUCAGACAAAUAAUACACUGGGCGCUGAACUUUGAGAGCUUUUCCUUCUUCCUCCCGCUCGACCGUAAGCACAAUACCGACGACUUGUCCUGUGGCUGCGAUAUAGAGCAACAGAGGCUCUUUGCUGAUUGGAGCAGCAAGCACCGGCUGGGUGGAGAGCAGAGCUUUUAGCUCGGCAAACGCUGCAUCAGCUUCUGGAGUCCACUUGAACUUGUCUGUCUUCUUCAUCAGUCGGUAAAGAGGCAAUGCCUUUUCACCGAGUCGUGAGAUGAAUCGACUUAAUGCGGCUAAGCAUCCAGUAAGCUUCUGGACAUCGUGCACUCGCACAGGGCGUUUCAUUCGGAGAAUAGUGCCAAUCUUCUCUGGGUUUGCGUCGAUUCCCCGUUCGGAAACGAGAAAACCGAGUAACUUGCCACCAGGAACUCCAAAUGUGCACUUUGAUGGAUUGAGCUUGAUAUCAUAUCUUCUGAGGUUGGCAAAUGUUUCGGCGAGAUCAGCGAGCAGGUCGGAACCUUUUCGUGACUUGACAACAAUAUCAUCCAUAUAUGCUUCCACAUUCCGACUGAUUUGAGUGAGUAGACACUUCUGAAUCAUUCGCAUAAAUGUGGCUCCGGCAUUCUUGAGGCCGAAUGGCAUGGUGAUAUAGCAGAAGCACCCGAAUGGAGUGAUGAAAGUUGUUUUUACCUCGUUGGGUCCAUACAGACGGAUCUGGUGGUACCCGGAGUAGGCAUCUAAAAAAGAUAGCCUCUCGCAUCCCGCGGUCGAGUCAACAAUUUGAUCUAUGUGAGGGAGAGGAAAAUGAUCUUUCGGGCAGGCCCGGUUGAUGUGCUUGAAAUCAAUGCACAUUCGGAGCGACUUGUCCUUCUUAGGAACCAUGACGACAUUAGCGAGCCACUCGGAGUGGUAUAUCUCUCAAAUAAAUCCUGCCGCCAACAGUCGAGCCACUUCUUCACCAAUGGCUUUUCUCUUCUGGACGGCGGACCGCUGAAGAUGCUCUUUGACUGGUUUUGCAGAUGAGUCGACUCUUAGGCGAUGCUCAUCCAGUCCCCUGGGAACACCUGGCAUGUCAGCGGGCUUCCAUGCAAAAAUGUCCCAGUUCUCACGGAGGAACUGGAUGAGCGCUUCUUCCUAUUUUGGGUCGAGUGUUGUGGAGAUGCGGGUCGGAGCUGCAUCGGGGUCGGUCGGGUGAAUGUGAACAGACUUCGUCUCACCGGACGACUGGAAUGCAGACUCUAUGGCGGGUUUCUUUGAUCGCAGCAAGUCACUCGGAUCUGCGUUUUGCUUGUAUUCCUCGAACUCGACCGCUGUCACCUGGGAAUCGGCAAUCUUGGAGCCCUUCUGAAAGCACUCUUCUGCCUUUUUCCUAUCACCGGUGACAGUGAUCACUCCUUUGGGGCCGGGCAUCUUCAAUUUGAGGUACACGUAACAUGGUCGAGCCAUGAACCGUGCGUAAGCUGGUCUCCCCAAAAUGGCAUGAUAUGCACUCUGAAAAUCCACGACCUCAAACGUCAACUUUUCUUUGCGAAAAUGUUUCGAAUCACCAAACACCACGUCCAAAGCUAUUUGGCCGAGUGACUCGGCUUUCUUCCCUGGUAUAACUCCAUGAAAGCUCAUGUUACUAGUGCUCAGUCGGGACAUCGGAAUGCCCAUUCCUUUCAGUGUGUCUGCAUACAACAAAUUCAGCCCGCUUCCACCAUCCAUCAGCACCUUUGUCAGUCGAGUGCCUUCGACAACUGGAUCGACCACCAAAGCUUGCCUCCCAGGGGUGGCAAUAUGAGUCGAGUGAUCAGAUUGGUCAAAUGUGAUGGGUAUUUGAGACCAUUUCAGAUAAUUUGCUUUUGAUGGGGCAACCAUGUUCACCUCUCGGUUAAUGACUUUCAGUCGACUCCUGCUUUCCACAUCUGCAAAGAUCAUCAGAGUGGAGUUGAUAUGCGGAUAUCCUUCCUCACUGUCCUCCUUGUCUUCAGCCUUGUCCGACUCCUUCUCCUUGUCCUUAGACUGUUUUCCCUGAAACUGCUGGAUCAGGAGUCGACAUUGGCGAGUGGUGUGCUUCGGGUAGAUGAUAUUCCCCUCUUCGUCUUUCUUCAUGUGGAUGUGACAUGGCAUAUCCAUUACGUCGUUCCCUUCUUUAUCCUUUACCUUCUUGGGGUUCCAGGAUCCUUUUGGUUUCCCCUUAAACUUUCCCUGAGUCACGGCCAGAGCCUCUCCAGGAGCUGCCGGUUCAGCCUUCCGCUUCUAUUUCCGACUGGUGUUUCCUUUUUCCGACUGACUCGGCUUGUGCUUGCCGCUUCGGAGUCGGUCUUCUUCUUCGCCGUUGGCGUACUUGGUAGCAAUCUCCAUCAUCCGACUCAAAGUCAUGUCACCGGUUCGACCAAACUUCAAACUCAGUUCUCUGUUCUUGACGCCAUCUUUGAAGGCGCAGACUGCCUGAUGAUCAGACACGUUCUCCACAGUGUGGUGCAAAGUGAUCCACCUCUGAAUAUACUCUCUGAGAGUCUCAUUAGCCUUCUGCACGCAGACUUGCAACUCUGUCAAUCCAGCUGGUCGCUUGCAAGUUCCUUCAAACGUUCUGAUGAACACUCGGGACAGAUCUUCCCAAGUGUAAAUGCUGCUAGGAGGUAAUUGAGUCAACCAUGCCCUGGCAGAACCUUCCAGCAUGAGGGGCAAAUGCUUCAUGGCCACCUCGUCGUUCCCACCACCAAUCUGAACUGCCACUCGGUAGUCUUCAAUCCAAGUUUCAGGCUUAGACUCACCAGUGAACUUGCUGACUCCUGUUGCCAACCUGAAAUUGGGAGGGAUAACUGUGGCUCUGAUAGCUCUGCUGAAACAUUCAGGACCAGAAACAUGCACUCGACUGCUUGUGGGUGCAUCUCUGUCGAGUACGCCUCGAUGGGCUCUGUUCCGGUCGACCAAACCUUGCACGAUAAUGGAUCGCGCGUCGAAGCCUGGUUCUCUGGGGUCGACUGGAACCCUUCGCCCUAUACUGUACUGACGCCUGUCAUCUUGCUGCCGAGGAGCGUAAGACCCACCCCUCGGAGGGGAAUUGGGCACUCGACGCCUAU
rnacentral:lncRNA from 1 species